rnacentral:lncRNA from 1 species
UUAAUUUUUUUGUUGUUGCAGUGACAUUCAUUACUAGAACAUAUAGAUAGCCCAUAAAAAUUAGUGCUCCACACAAAAACUCAUAAUUUUUCAAACUUAUAUUAAAAUUAUACAUCUCAUCGAGCUAAAAAAUUCCUAGUUAAUGAUUUAUUUUAUUUGAGGUCGCUUAGGGGCCAAAUAUACUCUUAUAUUUUCAACUUCAAUUUUUUGAAUUUUUAUACAACUUCAGAUGGAGAUAUGACCUAUAGAAAAGUUGUAGUGCUCCACAAAAUAUAAAACUUUUUAGUCCAAAAGGUUUCCAUUUGAGUUUGUCUGUUAGGGGCCAAAUAUUCAACAAAAGAUUGUGAAAAUUAAACAAAAGAAUAUUUGUAUCAUACUGUACUUGAUCGCGAGUGACUGUCUGGCGUGCUGGUAAGGAGGGUCAUGCAGGCACGGAGGUAGCAUAUUCGUAUCAUAUAUAAAGGGAACUGCUAUAUCGCCUAUAUGUCAUGUGUCUGACAAUGAUUCAUUUUUUUUUAGUCAAUGGAUCUAAAUCACAUCGCUUUGGAGCUUCUUCUUCUUCCUUCGGUUGUCAUGUGUCUUUGAUUUCUGUGUUUUCAGGCGCCUACACUCUAGGAAGCGUGCAUAUAAAAUGCAUGCACGUUAAAAAGCACGUGACUUGUACAGAGGCGGCGUUGGUCAGUGUUUUAGACUGUCUCUACAAAUCGAUCUAUAUAGACGAGUGUAUCUAAAAAAGCGUUUAAGCAAAUGGGAAAACUGUCUCCACAACUUAAAAAGUUUUGUGUAGCAUUGAACCUAAUUUCCGACGGUCAAAUAUAUGUUUAUACAUCAGGUGUUCCAUGCUUCUACUUACUUAUAUUGCGUUGUACCCUGAUGACAAUAUAAGUUCGUUUUUGCAGCACUAGCGCACAAAUGGAUUAGUUGCCCUUCCACCACCUUCUCUAGUUAGGGUGUGUUCAGUUCCCCAUAGAACACAAAACGCAAAAUGCCAACUAAUUUAGAAUAAUGAAAUAUAAAAUGUCAAAAAUUUCAGGGUUAUGUUUAGUUUUAUCCAAAAUAUAGAAUUUAUUGUCCCCAUUAGGGUCUCUUGAGGCUUUUUUGGGCUUUUUUUUUGUCUAUUGAGACAAAAAUCCAAAAUGGAGAAUAACCAUUUUUUUUGUUAAAAAUUUCGCAUGGUGUUUAGUUCUAUUAUGAAUGGACCAAAACAUAAAAUUUUUUUAAGAUAAAAUAGGAACUAAACAGCUCCUAGUUGAUUAUAAGCAAGUUCCUCAAUCCCAAACUCUGUAACAACCUACACUAUCGGCUUUUUUCGACAUGAAAAUCACGGUGCAGUCAUCCAAGUCCGUCAAGCCCGACUACGGCAGCUGCGGUGGCAGACGCAGCAGCGCCGCUUCCUUCGCCACCGCCGACUUCGUCCCACUCACCGUGUUUGACAAGGUAACCGUCGACGUCUACGUCUCCCGCAUAUACUUCUUCCGCCCACCGGCGCCGCCCAGCUCCGCCAUGGAGGCAGGGCUGGCCAAGGCGCUCGCCGAGUACCGUGAGUGGGCCGGCCGGCUCGCCAUGGACGCCACCACCAGCGGCAACAACCGGGGCAUACUCCUCAACGACGCGGGCGCGCGGUUCGUCGAGGCGGCGGCCGACGUCGCACUGGACAGCGUCAUGCCGUGGGAGCCAACGCCAGAGACCACGAGCCUGCACCCAACCGGCGACGACGACGACGAUGGCGCUGACGAGCUGAUGCUCCUCCAGGUCACGCGGUUCGCGUGCGGCUCGUUCGCCGUCGGCACCACCGCGCAUCACCUGGUCGGCGACGGCCCUGCUGUGCGCAGCUUCGUCGUCGCUUGGGGCCAGGCCACGCGUGGCGCCGCCGUCGACCCUGUCCCGGUGCACGACCGUGUGUCCUUCUUCGUGCCCCGCGACCCGCCUCGGGUCCAGUUCGCGCACCGCGGCGCCGAGUUCAAGCCUCGCGGCGAGACGCCGACGGGUACACGUACAAGCGACAGCAGCCCCGCCGCCGGUGGUCAGGUUGUGGUGGUGCACAGAGCGCACUUCAGCCGCGAGAUGAUCUUGGAGCUCAGAUCACGGGCAUCAUCGUCAGCCGCCGGAGUCAGAUUCCGGCCAUACCCAUACACGACGCUGCAGUGCGUGGUGGCGCACCUGUGGCAGUGCAUCACCAAGGCACGCCGGAUCAGCACAGACAGCACGGCCACCGAGUUGCACAUCGCCGUGAACGGGCGCGCGCGCAUGCGCCGUCCGCCGGUGCCGGACGGGUACACCGGAAACGCCGUGCUGUGGGCGCGGCCGACCGCCACGGCGGGGGAUCUGGUGGCCAUGCCGCUGCGUCACGUCGUGGAGCUCAUACGCCAGGGGGUUUCCCGGAUCGACGACGGCUACUUCCGGUCGUUCAUCGACUUCGCGAGCUCCGGCGGCGCGGUGGAGAACGAGCAGCUGGUGCCGACGGCUGAUGCUUCGGAGACGGCGAAGAGCCCACACGUCGCGGUUUACAGCGUGCUGGGGUCCCCGUUCCAUGAGAUCGACUUCGGCGGCGCCGGCGCCGGCGGCCACGGCGGCCAGCCCUUCUUCUUCAUGCCCAGUUACGUCCCCGUGGAGGGCCUGGUGGUCGUCGUGCCGUCGUUCUGCAACGACGGCAGCGUCGAUGCCUAUGUGUCUCUCUUCAGCCACAACGUGGAUGAAUUCAAGACCUGCUGCUAUUCCCUGGAAGCAGCAGGAGAGGCACGCCUUUAGAAAUUACGUAGUCAUGCUGAAUAAUCUUUUAAGACCCCUGCUAAAUACAAGUUGCAUAUAAAUAAUUAUAUACUUAUACUUUCACCUCUUUAAUUCGGAACUCGUUCCUCAACGUUCACGGUGGCCACGACAGCAAAAAUGAUUUAGGCUGUUUGAUCCGUAUCAGACGACUGUAGUGCUCCUGUAAGUGGUUAACUGUACUAUGGUACACGUGCUUGCUUCCUAUAUGUUGCCGACGGCUGAAGUGGAAAAAAAAAUGCUUGUUUUUUUCCCUUCUAUAGUGAUGACCCCUCGACUUCCACUUCGCCUUCCUCAUUCCUCAGUUCCGUCGCUUUGCCUUCCGCUUCGUUCUUGUCGCCUCCACAGUCUUCCUCUCUGGCUUCAGUCCCUUGUGCCGGAACGGAAACAUCCCGAACCGAACCGAACCGCUUUCUAUAUUUGAUCCGAUCAAAUUCGUAUUUUUUUGUCCGACUUUAUCGUUUUCGUUUUCGUAUUUUAGAUGUUUCGUAUUUCAAAUAUAAAAGUAGAAAACGGUUUUGAUAUUUUUCGACCGUUUUCUACUUUUCUACUUUUAAAUAAACCGAAUUUAGUCAACUUUAGGGUCACACAGCCCAAUUACAGACUAUUCACCAUGCAUCUGCGUUCUUUCUACUAGUGGCUAGUUGUGUUCCUGUUAGCUAUUAAUUGCUUAUUCUAGACUUGUAUUUAUGUGUGGGCUAUUGUAUUAAAUACCUAAGACUAAGGAGCAUGCACUUUUUUAUUAUUAUAUGCACUUGAACUUUAUCCUAUAUAUACUUUUAGUCAUGCACUUGGUACUAUAUAUCGGUAUUUCGUAUUGAGUUUUCGUAUAUCGACCGUGUUCGACAUAAAUCCGAUCGAAUUGGUUCGUUUUCGAAAUUCUCGAUAUUUCGUAAGUUCGUGUUCGUUUUCGUGUCCGACUUUACCGUUUUCGUUUUCGUUUUCGUUUUCGUAUUUCAAAUGUAAAAGUAGAAAACAAUUUAGGUGUUCUUCGACCGUUUCCGACCGUUUUCAUCCUUACUUGUGCCCCAUCUUAGCCGUAGACAGUAAAAAUCGCCGGCGGCGUUGCUGAGCACUGCAUCCAAGCCGUAACCACUGAAAAUCGCCGGGUCCAUCGCUUGGGGGUGCAAUGCCAUAGUCAGAUUGGGAGAAGCGCAGGUGCCAGCUCUUCUUCAUUUCCUCUCCCCCCCCCCCCCCCAAUCCCAAUCGUACUCUGAAAAUCGCCGGGUCCGUCGCUUGGGGGUGCAAUGCCAUAGUCAGAUUGGGAGAAGCGCAGGUGCCUGCUCUUUCUUCUUCGUUUCCUCUCCCCCCCCCCCCCCAAAUCCCAAACGUACUUUUGACCCUAAUCAAAUCUGUUUAAUGUGCUUCAGGACACUACUCUGACUGCUGAGCAUCGGCUGGAUUCUGAGAAAGAGUUUGCUGCUCCUUCAGACCCAGUUACUUCAGAGAAAAAGUUCUGAAAUUCAGGUACUAUUUUUCUUGCUCUUUGUCCGUGUUUUCCCUUCUGUUCUUCCCACCCCCUUUUUAAAAGAUUUUCCCCCUUUCGAUUAAUUUUUCAGCACGUAAAUAUUCAUGUGUGUUAACGCUUUUAAAAUCUGUUUCAUAUGCUUCAGGAAAUUACUCCGACUGUUGUGCUUGGAUCCAUUCUGAAAAAGCGUUGCUUGCAUAUUCUGACGACUGCGCUUCAGAUAGUUGUUGUGAUGCUUACGCCUCUGAUUGAUUUUGCAAAUUAAGGUACUACUUCUAAUCUAUAUUAUUAUCCUCGUUAGUGCUACAUAAUGUUUUUUCCCUUGUAUAAAAAUAAUUGAAUAACAGUGAUACAUGUUGAUACCUUGAAUUUGGAAUUUUAAGCUUCCAUCCUGUGAUGAUUUCCAAUUUUAACUUAAACGCAGAAUGUGCUCAUGACUCAUACAUGUCCAUAAAUUUAGAUACCUUGAAUUUGGAAAUUCAAACUUCCAUCCUGCGAUGAUUUCCAGAUUUAAGUUAAAUUGUUAAAUGCACAAUGUGCUCCUGACUCAUACAUAUCCAUAAAUUUAGAGUCCUUCUGUUUUUAGUUGCCUUUUUUAUUCUAAAUAUUCUGGGUGCGAUGAUACUCCCUUUGUUUGUUGUCAUAUAUUAAUUCAUUCUGCACAAACUUAUAAAUGUUCAUAAAGUACGAAUCAUUGUGUUUGUCGUUAUAUUUUUGUAUAUUCGGCAAUUCUGAGAUCCCUCGCUACCUUUUUUUGUUGUCGUGCGUCUCUUUUGUUCCCAUUAUUGUGGGAGUAUACUCGGAGUGAUUCUUCCAAUGGUGCGCCAUGGAUAUAUCUGCUGAAGACAUUACGUCUAUAUAUAUAUAUAUAUAUAUAUAUAUAUAUAUAUAUAUAUUGGUCUUUCUUUAUCUCUCUUUUUUUUCGUCAAAAAAAAUAAUACUUGGUACAUAUAUUUGUAUAAUAUAAUAUAUUAUGCUCCAGUACCUGUGUCAGGGGUCUGAAGCAGGGUUUUCAAUUCCGCAAAGUGCAUCUGCGCCAAGGAAUAUAAGAACCUCAUCUGUACCACACGAAAAGUUCUCCACCAUUGAGGCCUUGUUUAGUUCACCCCAAAAAGCAAAAAGUUUUCAAGAUUCUCCGUCACAUCGAAUCUUGCGGCACAUGCAUGAAGCAUUAAAUAUAGACGAAAGCAAAAACUAAUUACACAGUUUAACUGGAAAUCGCGAGACGAAUCUUUUAAUCCUAGUUAGUCCAUAAUUAGAUAAUAUUUAUCACAAACAAACGAAAGUGCUACAGUAUCGAAAUUCGAAAUCUUUUCGGAACUAAACAAGGCCUUGAGUCGAAGCUUUACAUUAUUUAAUAUUAUGUCCUUACGGAGACAUUACAAAAUACCAGAUGUCAGCGCUCAUUAUGCCCCUGCAAGUAGUAGUCCUGCAGAAAAUCGGCAAAAAAGGAGAAAAUUACUGAAUCAACAUCGUUUAGCAUGGAAAGGUAUAUGACCAUUAUGUCGUAUGAACCAUAUAUUUUCAGUGUUGUGUACUGGUGUUUAGCCUCAUCUAAAUCCCUUAUUAUCGUCAAAACAAAUUUGUGUUAAACAAUUCCAUGCAGGCAGCACUGCUCCCUCUCAUAGUACAGCAGAUAAAAACUGUGGUCACUUCAGUGAUGAAUAUAUAAAUGCUCUUAAAGGUAUUCGUUAGUUAUUCUAUGUAGCUUCUCAUCAACUCGAUAGCAGUAAUCUGAGGUGCAGACCAACAGGAGACACCAUUUCAGCAAAUCACCAACAACAACUCGCCCUACAUCUUGGUGGAAGUCAGAUCCAUUGAAAUCAGGUACUAUUUCUGAAUUACCAUGAUUAUAACAGGUCCUAAUAUUUUACAAUAACACAGAUCCAAGCCCUUCUCCAUCCUUCUUCGAUUAACUCGAAUAAAGAAAAAAAAUCCUUAUUAAUAAAUAAAAAAAACUGACAAAACAGCACAAAAAAAUAUAUAAUGAUUGAUUCUGCGAUAUUUUAUAUCUGUACACUUACAUUUUAUAUUUAUCUCUUCCAUUCUCUUCCUUUUAGUAAUAUAUGAUAGUUCUCUAUUUCAUUGGAACAGAGCACAUGGAACCAUACCAGUAUCCCAACCUCACCAUCAUUAACGAAGACGAAAAUGUCAGGAUGAAGAUUGACAUACUCAGCCAAUACAUAAUUGCAAAGAUUCCAAGAGAUGAAACAGCUUCCAUCACUAUACAGGAUAUCCAAACAGCAGUUGAACUUCAGUUCAAUACUCAAGUGUACCCUCAUAAUAUAUCAGCAUUAGGCUCUGACUUCCUUCUGUUUGUACAUCCACCCAGCAAAUCUGCAGAAAUGCUACACACUAGAUACAUAGCCAUGUCUCCAAUCAGUCCAAUUCUCAUCCCAUGGCACUCAGAAUACGGCUGCAUCAAAAUUCCAGCAGAUACACAACUCGCAAACAUACAAGUUUGCCUUAUUACAAUACAAUUUCUCAAAGCAUAAACAAACCUCUUAGACAAGUUCUGAUAGACAUCCGAGGCAUUCCGCCACAUUUAUCCGACGAGACUACUGUCAAAACACUACUAAAGAGUAUGUGCAAAGUAGGCCAGAUCACAUUCACAAAUCCUCAGCCUAUACCAUGUUGCCGCAGAAACACACAACAUCGAUAUAAUACCAUUUGUGGCUCAUCUGGGUGUCAAAAAACUCGAGAAUGGACAACAUCUUCUACAUAUCUGGUCAAUUUCACUAAAUGCAUUCGACAUGACACCAAAUGACAAUAUCUACAUGCAGAUCCAGCAAGAAGAAGAGAAUGACAGAAUAGGUAUGCCUAUACUCAGUAUUUCUUAUAGUUUUACAACAUAAGAUUCACAUUUUACAUGCCACUACUAAUUUCAAACAAAUAUUAACAGCUUCAGCAGAUUGCGUUAGCCCCAAUGACAUAAUUCCAGCAGACCACAAUCAACAUGAAAAUAAUACCUAACAUAUAAUUAUAUAUGUGCAGAUUAAUCCCACGAAGCACACUCAAAAUGAUGGACCUACUAAACUCGCUACACCAGAUAACCAAAAUUAGCGUCCAUCCAAGCUACCCAUGUAUAAUAGUAUUGUAUUAGGCACCUCUAUAUGGAUCAAACAUAAUUAUGUAGUCACUCAAAUCUAAGACGAAUUUCAUCAUGUAAUAUAUGUACACUAUAUAUGAACUCAUCUUUUUCAGUGUCAACAACUAAAUAAAAUCACUAAGGCCAGUCUCAAUGCAUGUUUCAUAGGAGUGUCAUGCACAUUAAAUAGGGUGCCUCAUAAGCAAAAUUGCUGAUUUGGCAGGGUCAUUAAAUGAAGGAGUUUCAUCAGAUGAGAGAGGAGUUUCAUUCCCAUGAAACUCAUGUGGCUCGGUUACCUAGUUUAUAGUGUUGGUAAUUGUGCCAUGAAACUAUGCAUUGAGACUGACCUAAAAACAUUAGCGAUCGCGCGCAGGGGCGCGCGUUCCCACUAGUAUUUCUGUAAAGUGAUUCUCAACUAAACUAGAAGGUGAGAGCCCCCAAAAAACUAGGUCACGAUAUUCACUACUUCCUGUAUAUAUAAGAACCAUUUUUCACAUAGAAUUUUCCUAUAGAAAAUCAUAUAUCACUACUACAUAACAUUUUUUUGGAGGCGGGUGUUUUUUAUUUUUAAAGACGGGUAGAAGCAACCGCCACCAUUGUAAAGACACGAUUAAUCGUGAAUUUACGAAUAGGGUUAUCCUGCCCGUCUCCAUUAAUUGAUUAAUGGAAGUGGUUAUUUUAGAGCGCCCGUUGCCGUUAAUGAAUAUUACAAAAAAAAGGAAGACGGGCAGUCUGUGCUGCCGCCGCCACUAAUCCAUCGAGCCUGUUGUUGUGCUUCGUGUCCGUGUCGCCUUCGCCGCGUGCGUCGCCGCUGCUGGGGCAGAUCUGCAGGUUCGGUGGCCAUAUCCGCAGCUCUCUGGUGGCCGGAUCCGCGACCGAGAGCUGCUCCUCUCUGGAUUUGCCACUGUGGCCCUCAUCGAGGUGGCUAGCACCGCCGUGACCCCUCGUCGAGGCGGCACGCACCACUGUGGCACCUUGUCGGGGUGGCCUCGCGCCGUCAUGACUCCUCAUCGGGGCGGCCCAUGCUGUUGUGGCCCCUUGGGGUGGCCCACGCCGCCGUGGCACCUCGUCGAGGCGGCGCCGCGCCGUCGUGGCCCCAUACUGGGAAGCCGCCGUUAACCUACAGAGAGGUUGCCGGGGAGGGGAACAGUGGGACGGAGAGGAAAGGGGACGGGAAGGGAACGGAUGGGACUGGUAGGAGUGAGAGUUAGGGUUCAUCAUGAAUUCAUAUAUAUGUUGGAGAUGGUAGUGGGCUGGUAUGGGCUAGUGGGUUGGACUUGAUUUACAGAGGCGGUUGAAUUAGAAUGCCCACCUCGGUUAAUGACUUUCUAAGGUGGUUGCAUUAGAAUGUCGGACAGGUUAGGUUGACUGCCUCCGUAAAUCAAAUUUAUGAAGCGGUUUUUUUACCACCUUAGUUAAUAAAAAAUAACUGCCUCAUUUAAUCUGAAGCAUUAACCGAAGCGGUUUAAAAGGUUGCCCGCCUUCAAGCCUCUUUUCAAAAGGCCUCGCAAAAGAUUUUUUUUAUAGUAGUGUAUAGAGAAUCACUUGUAACACCCCCAUGUCACAAAUCUGCUUAUAUGGCCUUAGAUCCACAUGUGGAACAGGUCUAUAUGCACGUAGCACCUCUCUUGCAUAUAUGUCUAGGACCACCCUUUAGUUCCCCUUCACAAACACACAUACAACAAGGGUUGAUGAUCCAGAGGUGCUACCGUUGGAACGCCAAGGAUUAUAAGCUGCCCCAUGCUCUUAAACUUCCAAGAUAGUAGUAAAUCCACCAACCACAAUCACACAUGUGCCACUUGAGCCACAUGGGUCAACUUCACAACUACUACAUGCUACUAAUAGGCUGAGGUGCUACAUCACUUCUACCCUAUCAUUAUCUCAAGUGAAAAAAUAAUAUUCCUCUUCACAGUAUCUGAAAAGGUCUUUGGUCAACAAUACUUGAAUUACAUGGUUCCCUGGAUUCACUUCUACUAAAUGAUUUUCAAGAUGGUUGGACUUACAUUUGGGGAUCCAAUGUUUUCUCUUUAAGGAAAGCAUAUAAAUAGCUCAGUGGACAAGCUAAUGUACAACUUUAUCUUUAAGCCUACAGAUGGAUCUGGAAAAAUUGUAAUUCAAGUGUUGUUCAUUUGGCUUCACAGUAAUUCAAGUGUUGUUCAUUUGGCUUCACAGUAAACAUAUAUUUUAGAUUAAGAAGUUUGUCUAGAAUAAGUUACAUAAAAAAGUGAGAUAAUAAAAUUUAUGCGCAUAAGUUUUUUAGUCGAAAGAAGAAUUAUAUUAUAUAAUAGUUGGGUACAUCAGUCCGUUAGCACUCUUGAAUAAAAUACAUAUAUCCGUUAGCACUCUUGAUUUUCAUCUAAAUUAUACUCAAGCUGUGAAUAGCUCCAAAUCUCAAAACCAAACUUGUAUGACGUUUCAUAUGGAUGACCGCAUAGGCAAACACUCAGCAAAAGAUCUGAGAAUAGAUGCCCAACGAACGACGGCCAACAUUUCUGUAGGCGGAGUUGAGAAACAUCUUCUCUCUUUUGUCUUCUUCUUUCUAUCGCCGAAGAUUGAGAAAAGCUAAUCUGAAAAUUAUUCUCCCUAGUCCUUCAUCGUGGCCAGAUCCAACCACGACAAAACAAAGAAGAAACCGGAGAAAAUUAUUCCAUGACAGCGACAUCAUCUCUGCCUUGAUGUCACACUCCGGAAAGAAAGGUCUUCAUGUCGUUAUGACGCCGUAAUUGUCGCCCUCAUCUUCAACAUAGUCGUCAUAGAGAAAACAAUUCCACUCUUCCCCUUUGUUGUUGCCGGAGAUGAGGAGAAAAUAAAUACCCAAUACGAAAAAAUUUGGCAUGAAGAGACUCUAACCCUAAAGACUCGAUCUACUAGAAAACUUUUCAAAAACAAUGAAUUUCCACUCCAUUCAACCUUCGGUGAGACGCUAGAGGAGAUGGGAGAGGGACCAGCGGUGGUGGGAGAAGGGGCGGCGGUGGCUCCUCUUGGUUCCUAAAAGUUGUAAGCAUAACUUUAUAAUUUUCCAAAAAAAAAGAGAAAUUUACAAAAAUAUCUUUUUUCAUAAAAAGGAAUCAUGACGCUGGUGGGAUCGACCCCUGGAUUCCAGCCCACCCGUCGUUUGCUAAUUAGCUAGGUCGUCUAGGAGCUGUUGUUGAAUCAACUUCCACUUCGCUCAAACUACCACAAUAGCUAUUUAUUUAAGUUGAGUUAAUUUUCUAUUUAAAAUUCAGAUUUUAUUGUACCUAGUACUAACUAUGGAUUUUACGGUUUAUUUAAUAAUUUAAUUGGAUAAAAAGGGUGAGCCUCCCAAAUAAAUUAAUCUAACAUGUGACAAUUACGAAAGACAUCGCAACUGGUCUGUAAUACGAACCGGUUCUAAUAGUUACCAUCACAAUCAGUUUGUGGUCUGGCUGCAUUACCACUAAACUGAUCGUGACGGUACAAUAAUAUAUAGUUACCAGUUACUUUUACCAAAAUCCAUUGUGAUGUUCCCUCAAAAAAAAAUCAUUGUGAUGUACCAUUGUAAAGGCAAUUUCAGUAACAACGAACUCAGAUAUUCACAAUCUACAAUUUACAUAUAGGUUAAAGUGUUUGGAAAAUUAAGCGAAAAUAACAUUUAAGUAACCAACUCUGUUCUACACACGCGCUACUAUUAUCUUACAUUUAUUUUGUGCCUAUAUUAAAAGUGAGCUUAUUCAUAGCUGAAUCUGUUUGAGAUGUGUUCUUAUCUUAUCUGGAAGUUGAAUACUUUGAUGCAGAAGGCAAACAUGAAACUAAAGCAAACAGUGAAACCAACAACAGCAGUGGCUGCGUAACCCAAGUGAUCAUGCGUAAACCCAAAGAAUCUGUUGAUGAAAUCUUUUACUAUUUCCCCAUCUUCCAGCUCAACAUCUAUAAUAUCUCCAAAUUGGGAAGCCACAAGUCCAUAUAGUGUCCAAGCCACUGGGCAUGCCCACGAGUACCAUCUCCACCAUAUUGGUAUCCUCUGCAGAACGGUCAUGCAUGUAUGCUUCAGCAUUGCAAGGAAAAUUCAAACAUAUUGCAAAUGUACAUGGAGUUACUCUUAGAGACUUACUGGUCUGGGGAUAAUGAAGCCAGCAAAGAUAUUCCAUAUUGCAUAGCAUGCAGUUGAAGCUAGGGCGGCGAUGUCACUGUUUGGUGUCAUGGCAACUAACAUCAUCCCGUAGAAUGUGAAGUACAUGAACGUGAAGUACAUGAAAAACAUGUACCAAAAGAACUUUUGGACUGUCCAGUCAAAGUCUAUCAAGGCAUAUAUGAUGAGACCAUAGACAACGGUCUGGAGGAAGAUGUGUGGGAUCUCAAUUACAACCUGUUGAAGAGUUAAAUUGUUAGAAUCCAGCAGUCAGUUGUGACUUGGGACAAAUAUAGUACGAAUAUUAUUCAAAUAUUUUGUUACGACCAUUUACCUGUGCAAAAGCAUAGGGUAGAGCCGAGUACAUUCCAGCAGCCUUUUCUCGAUAGAAUACUGUUCUCUCAACUUCUACUAUCGGUUGUACGGAUAGGCCAUUCUGAACUCCAAUUAAAAGAACCGCAGCAUACAUGGAUCCCAAAGCGUCAAACAGGUCCUGUCUCUUGACACUGAAAAGAAUAGGUGAAGCACAAGUAGGUUUCUUUGUCACAACUCACAACAUGUCAAGCCUUAAUUGGCAAUAAGUGUUACUUACACUUUCUUGCCUAAGCUUAAGAAGAUGGUUCCAAAUACAAAGCCAAUAAGUGUGGUGAAGAAGAUUCUAGUUGCAGUGUAUGACGGGUUUCUCCAGUAUGACUUGUGCUGCUUCCAUAGGCAAGCCAUGCACUGUAUGAUGGAGGACUGUGAGUACUGUGUUGGAAAGUACAAGUCUUUGGAUCCAGGUGGAGGUGUGCUUAAUUCACUGACCAAAUUUUUGUUCUUCCUACAAUGGUGCAACCCAACCGUCAACAUAAAAAUGGAGCACAGAUAAAAGCAAGAAAACUAAUUGGUGUCACCGAACAUACCGGUAUAAAUCUGAAUUCCUAUAUACUUCAGCAAAGUUGCACCCAAGAACGUCUUCUUGAGCUAGGGUGGUCACUUCCAACAUCCAUGUUGCAGGAUUGUAACCGUCCUUGAUUUUCUUCACACCUCGUACUCCCUAUACAUUUGUAGCACCAAACAUAGUUACCGGUUACUACUUACCAUGCCUGGCAUAGGUCAAACGAUAGAUGUUUCGCUCAGUAGGUGAGUAACGAACCUCACCUCAAAGUACUUAAUUAGGUGGCAUGACUUGUCUCCCAAGGGGCCAACGUAUAUUUCUUCACCUCCCCAUUUUAGCAAGAACAACUUCAAAAGUUCAAGAACCACAUGUAGCCGUUGACAACUGAACAUUGGUUCAAGAAUUACUUAUACAAUUUUCUCAUCAUUUAUGCUACUUACCUCAUCAAAAGCUUCAAAGAUGUCGAUGCUGGGCUGAUGGAUUGUGCAGACGACUGUUCGUCCAGUAUCGACCGUGUUUCUGACUGUCCUCAUCACAAUUGCAGCUGCCCUUGCAUCUAGUCCCGAAGUUGGUUCAUCCAUGAAUAUGAUGGAUGGGUUGGCAACAAGCUCAACUGCUAUAGUGAGCCUCUUCCUCUGUUCGGUAGAUAAACCAUCCACUCCUGGCAGCCCCACUAAUGCUCCCCUCAGUGGCAUUAGCUCGACAAGUUCAGCAACCUCCUCCACAAACAUCUGUGUUCAUAAAAAGUUAUUCAAUCACACCAAGUGCUCUUGUAAUCCAUUGCAAUUCCAAAAGAAAAGGUCAAUGAGUUACUUAUGAGCUAUCAGAAUUUUUUUUCUCGAUCGGGUGAAUACACCCGUUUUUCAUGAGCUAUCAGAAUGAAGGUCAUUAUAUUCGAUCUACCUUUCUUGCUUCCAAGUCAACUUCAGGGGGCAGCCGGAGCCAUGCUGAGAAUAGGAGGGAUUCAUAAACAGUGACAUGUGGAGAGUGGAUAUCACUUUGCUCACAGUAACCAGCGAUCCGAGCAAAGGUCUCUUGCUUCUUUGGGUAUCCAGAUACAUAAAUGUCUCCUUCAGUGUAGCCACUAGUUUUCCUUCCUGCCAACACAUCCAACAGAGUUGUCUUACCCGCUCCGCUGACUCCCAUCAAUGCCGUAAGGGCUCCAGGUCUGAAGGCUCCACUUACACCCUUCAGUAGUAGUAGCCGGUCUUCAGUAAUACCUUUGUUUUUCAUUUCCUAUAGAAGAUAAAUAGAUUGAGAUAUGUGGAGUAUAAUUAGUACUUACUAUUUACUAGUAGCAGUUUUUGUAUGCGUAAAAAUAAAAAUCUACUUUACUGUCUCUGUUUGUAAAUAAUUCUUGUUCUAUUUUGUGCCUGUGUUGUUUUUCUUUCGUUUUUGGCCGGUGCUAGCAUAGGAUUGUGUUGUAUGUAUUUUUUUUCUUUAAUGAAAUGCUCAAAAUUCUCCUGUGAUGUUCAUUAAAAACAAAUGACAAAUAUUGCUUACCUGAGGCAUGUCCACGGAGUAUUUGAUAUUGUCAAAGGUGAUUGUCAAUGGCGUAAAUGGAAGUACCAUUCCUCUCUUCUUGGUGUCUGCUCGGGUGAUUUCUCCACUUCCUGCAAUUGUAGUUAGUGGAUUCUUUAAAGGAUGCAAGACUGACACGUACUGUUAAGCGGAUGUUACAACAGAGAAUAUUUAUGACAGACCAUCAGAUGGUGAAUUCUGGCAGUCUGUUCCAAGAGGCAGCAGUUCAACAUUCUCACCAGUACGGUUUUGUUGCUUCUCUCUCAGUCCCUUGUCAGAAACAAUAGUUUGGCCUUUUCUAAGUGCUGUUAUAAAAGGAAUGACAUGAUGCCAAACAUAAGAUGGAUUCUUUUCAAAAGGACAAACAUAAGAUGGUUUUGUUCUAAAAGACAAACAUAAGAUUUUUUAAGUGUGUGAAUCAAUCUAUCUUUGAACUGGAGAGUACUCACGGCCAAGCCAGUCAAGGAACAGUACAAAGAGUAAAUUGAAGAUCAUGAUGUAUCCAAGCAAUGCUCCAACACCAAUCCAGUACCAGUUUCGGUCUACAAAAAUGCCACGUGCCUUUAGGAUUUGGACACCGAGUGUGUCAUUAUUUUCUGUCCUAUCGACCUGCACAAAACUUCAUGUCAUUUGUCACUUCAAUUGUCAAUCUGAACUUCAGAGACAUCAAGCUUGCGUUGGUUGGAUCACCACCUGCCAACUAUUGCCAAGGAACUCAUUCACCGCUAUGGCAUUCUGGGCAUACAUCAGAGGGGAGGACCAGUAACCCCAAAUCCACGAUUUCUUGAUGUUAUCUGCAGAAAGAGAACUAAGUCCCACACACUGGACACUAAAUGAUGACUGAAUGAAUACAUUACAUACUUCUUGCUAUCAAGAAUCCACCAAGAAUUAGCAGGACAAUCUGAGCAAAUGAGCCAAAUGUCUCUGCAACAACCAUGUCUCUUCCUACUGCAGCAAGAAGCCGGAAAAGACCAGAUGCCAUUUGGCUUAUUAGUACAAGCAGUAGGUAAUGACGGAAGAAUCUUUCAAUGCUUGGAUCAAAACCAAUGACAUAGUAAGUCAUGCCAGUCCACACAGCACAUUCCAAGAAUGAUAUUGGGAUCUUGAGCAACCAUGUAGGCAAUGCAUAUGCCCAUGAUGGAUAGAAGAGAUGAUCUCUCUGCUUAUAAAAUAUUGGCAGCUUUGCAAUGCUCAUGGCAACCUCAACAAAACCAUUGAACAAAUGUGUAACUAGGCCGAGGAACAUCGCGCCUAGAAAGAUGACUCCAUCUUCGACAUCAUGUCGAUGCAUUUUUGUGCGCAGGAAGACCGUCAUUGCAAUGGUUCCUAGGAUAAUGAGCUGGUACAGGUAUGUACCAACCAUCCAAAUCUAUAACUAUCUGAAUUUCAAAAUAGAGAAGAUUUAAGGAAACAAAAUGCAUGUUUCUUACCUGCACUACUUUGAUGAUGUAAACGAAUGAGUUCCUCUUCAUCAGCAGCCACUCCCUAGAAAAGCAUGCCUUGAGAAGCUCCAUCCUGCUAAUACCAAACUUUGAUGUUGUGAGGGCAGCAGGGUGGUUCUUGGUUCGAUCGAAGGGCACUUCGAGCUCCAAUCCCAAUGCAUUCCCAACAUGAAAUACUUUGAAGGCCUCUACGAAGUCAUUUACUGAGACGUACAGAUAUGGCUCAUCUCUUCUACACCAGUACUGGUAUUGAUCCUUCCUAGAAGUAACCUGUCGAUUGAAAUAGAACAAUGUCAAAUUGGAUUCUCGAAAUUCUGAACGUUACAGUAAAUGGCAUUCUCCCAGAUCACUCACUUCUUGCAAGAAGUCUGCAACACCUUUCCUAUCAGGACAUCUGAAACCCAUGGCCUCAAAAAACUCGAUGACAUUUUCUCGAGGACCCUGGUACACGAUUUGUCCCUCGGCAAGGAGAACAAUAUCAUCGAAUAGUUCGUAUGUUUCAGGUGCAGGCUGAAGCAAUGAGAUGAGUGCAGUGCCACCAAGGAUGUGGACCGACUGCCUUAGAGAGUUGAUGAUCUGAUAGGUCGUGGAGCUGUCCAGACCAGUGGAGAUUUCAUCCAUGAAUAGUGUUUUAGCUGGCCCAACAAGCAUCUCACCUAUGCAAAUCAAACAGGUUGAGAAGUCAGAUAUUUCUGUUAUGCUUCAGGUUUUAUGUAUGGAUAGUUCUUCUUAGCUGCAGAUUACAUACCAAUUGUGACACGCUUCUUUUGUCCCCCUGAGAUACCUCUGAUCAUAGAGUCUCCAACCAUUAUAUCUGCACAGAUAUCCAGACCCAAAAUCUGCAAAAUAAAUGAAUACCAUUACUGUUGGGGGCGAAGGGUCAUAUCCAUUUCCCCUGUACCUUCUUCGUGUAGUGUGCUCUUUUUUAACUCACUUUGAGGAUGUAAUCAGUAAUGAGGUUCUCUUGUCCUUCCUGGGAGAUGGCCUGUUUGCACAGAAUAGCACAAAUACUUUGAAGAUCCCCAUACUUCUUUUUCAAAUAAGGGUUUGAUUCAAAUUUAUUGACAAUUCUACCUUCAUGUAAACAUCAAUGUCAAGAUCAGGCCUAAUUUUGGCUUGUUUCUCCCUUCUUGAGAGUUCAGUAAGCAUAUCUACGAUGUAGAACACCAUGCAUAGAAGUCACUAAACAAAAGGCCCUUCCUUUCAUAUGACUUGUUACAUAGCAAUACAUACCAUAACGUGUUCCAACUCCUUGACAUCUUGCAGCAAAUGCCAAUGUUUCACGGACCGUCAUUUCACCUAUGUGAACAUCAUGCUGCCCGAUGUAUGCCGAUGUGCUUUGAGGGACAAAUUCGUCCAUGUCAUGUCCAUUAUAAGUCACCCUUCCUGAUACCUGAAUAAUUCCAUUACAAAGUUCAUCGAAGAAGCCAUGUUAGAACCUUAUCUAGUUUAAUUUUCUUUGAAGUAGUCUUCUACCUUAAGUUAAUAACAACUCAAACUCAAGAAGCGUGCACGCUGUGAUACCUUUAGGGUUGAAUCAAGUUUCCCUGCCAAAGCUAGAAGUAGACUCGUUUUCCCAGAUCCAGGAGCACCUAGCAACAAAGACAUUCUGAACAAAUUCCACGUGGUGACUAAACUCCAACCUAAAGCAAAAUCAUUUCUAUAUUCUGUUCUGAAGCUCUUGGUUUGUUACCUAUUCGGUCUUACAAUUCCACUUAUGUCAUGAAGGAUGGAGAUAGGUCUCUUCCCACUGGAGAUAAUGUGCAAAGCAGUCAGCGCAUCCUGAGAUAGGAACAGCUCACAACAGUCAGGAGCUGAACUGCUGAAGAAAUUUGACAACCCUUUUUCCCACGGCUAGGAAGCAUGAAAUAUUUAUGCCACUACAAAUGCAUACCAUGACUUUGUUGGAGAAGAAGUUGGUGAAUGUUGGGACUCCCUGUUUGCCAACAUAGACCUCCGUGUUGAUGGUCAAGUGCUCAAACCGCACUUCUAUCGUUGGGUUCUCAAUCCCAACUCUACAAAAAAAAAACAUCCUUAGAAAUUAACCAUGGAAAUCAAGAUGACUUGAGUGCAUAUGCUCAAAAAUCAAAUUAGGUGCAUAAUCAAACAGUUUUCUCAUGCUUGUGCAUGUCAUUCUUCAGGUGCUUCUGAAGUUUUCAAAAGAUUGUGAUCAAUGACUUAGGAAGAAUGAAGUGGAGCUAGUUAUGAGUGAUCACCGCUCCAUCCGUUCACGCAGUUUCAGAAGGAACCUCUCAUUGUCCUCCUCAGGGAUACGGAUGAGGCGCUGGAUGAGGCAUUGCCUUUCCUGCAUGCUGAGCCCUUGGAUGUCCACCUCCUGUAUGCCGCCACCCACUGCUGUGAGGAUGCCUUUCCUCAUGCGGUCGUAGGUGGGAAGCUUCUCUAUGGCCGCCCAUCGCAGCACCUCCUCGUCGUCCUCCUCCCUCGCUGACGACCGGAAUGCAUUGCUUCCUCUUGACGCCCACCAUGAUGAUGAUGUCCGCAGCAAGCUCCCAUCCAGGUUGCUCCCCAUCCUCAUCGUAUCCACCCUCCUCCUGUCCUCCUCAAUACAUAGAGCCCCAGCAAAAUAGACCUCUUCAAAUUCCUUUGUUUAAUAUCUUGUUUAUUUGAUCCUUUUUUGUUUCUUGUGCUCUUGCUCAAUCGCUUCUCCUGUCUUUUGUUAUUGUUUGCUACUAUAUAUGCAUGGUGGAAGCAAGCUAUGCUUGUUGCGUACCAGACCCCCUACAAAAAAAAUUUGGUAGUGCCAAAUGUGAGGGUGGUGUUUUGUUAAAAUAGGAGGUGGAUGCAGACGUUCAGAACUUCAGACACGCUCCACGACACACAAGUGCAUGCUACCUAUAUUUGAAUGUCGACAGGCAGGGACCAAAGUAGCAGAGGCAGAGAAGUAGCAUUAAAAUGGAGAUGGUGCAUAAUAAUAUUCCUUAUGAUAUAGUAAAUACCCCCUCUAUUUCAAACUGUAGGUCAUGUUAGUUUUGUUUUUGUCCUACAUAUGCCAAACUAGUAUAGCUAUGACUAAGUAUAUAGGAGAAUUGUUUAAUAUCUACCACAUCAAAAUAGUUUUUGGCUUUCCAAAUAUUAACACAUUUGUGUAUGAAGCUAUGAAACAUCAAAGCUAAAGAAAUUUGAAUUAGGUCUCACAAUUUGGAACUCGUUACUACAGAUACAACUUUAAUUCUGUUGGUCCCUCUUUUACAGGGCAUUUUGAUUGGAGACAUAUAAGAGACAGAUGAUCCCAGGCUCUGUUCCUCCAAAUCCGAAGGACAGGGUAAUUGCCCCCCCCCCCCCCCCCCCCCCCCCCCCCCCCCUCCACUUGAUGCGGCAACACGAGGCAGGCGCCGUCCAUUUCAUCCCUCCCCUUGUAGAGCUGGCGAGCGGGCGCCGCGGCCGAGCGGCGACGGUGGCGCGAGCGGAGCGGCAGCUGGAAUGGAAGAGCAGCAGUGCGCCACGGCAUGAAGCAGGCGGCUGGCGACCGGCGAAGCAGCAGGUGGCGGCGCUGAAGUCUGGACGGGAGAGCAUUCCAUGUCCAGGAUUUGAGAAUUUUAGAAGGAAGCUGACGAAAUUCAGGCCCACAUGGCAGUCAUAGUAAAGGUUAAUUUGGCCCAAGAAAUGUGUAGAAAAUAUAAUGAGAAGAAAAAUUAAAAUGAGGAAGGUAACAUCACCUACAACAAUUUUUUUUGACAAAAACACCUACAACACUGAACGUAUCUGGUGGAAACCACAACCUUAAGUCGUCUAAAUUCAUCAAAAAAAAUCACACAUAGAUGAUAUGAUGAUACACAACCUUGUAAAAUAUCUUGUCUAAAAUCAAAUUCAUUUGUGAGAUAUAAAAUAACAAAUUUUAAGCCAAAAAGUUGUCCAUAGGAUUUGUUAGAAAUUUGUUAUUUUUAUAGCUCACAAACGAAUUCGAGUUUGGAUAAUAUAUUUUAUAAUGUUGUGUAUUAUCAUAUCAUCUAUAUAUGUGAUUUUUUGGUGAAUUUAGACGAAUUUUUUACCGUGAUUUACACAGAUUUUCACAAAAGCUGGUUCCCUAACAAUUAAGGCGAAGAUGAACCUCCCUGGUAACCCCUCUGUUCCAUCAACUACUGUUGGUGAUAUGCAAAAACAUGUCCAAUAAAUCUAAAAGAUAUAUUGGUGUAUCCCAAUCAACUUAUUUGGUUGUAUUGUUGGUGAUAUGUUGGAGAAUUUCUUUAACCACAUCAAAGAGUCCUAUAUCCCCAUCCCUCAAACCGAACAAUCGAUGGGACAAUUCUAUCCCACGUCAUUGCUCGACCAAACAAAAAACAGGAUGAUCAUAUCCUUCAAAUCUAACAAAGAGUGGGAUGAUCACAUCUCCUGGACGAGAACAUCACAUUCCAUGUUGUCCAUAGACCAAAUGCAUGCCUGCUAAACUUCAAAGGUGUGAUCCAUUUAUGGAGGCAAUUUUUACAAAAUUUAUAUCUAAAUAAAAUUUUAGAACAACUCCUAACUUUUGCAUGUGAAGUCGGAUAAAGACAGUUUAUUUAAAAUUGUAGAGAUGAAUGAGAUGGAAAACUUUGUAGUUGAUAAAGUUCUAAUUUAAAAUUAUUAGAGCACCAAAAUUUUAUUUUAAGUUAUUAGGUUUUGACAUUUAAAAUUUAGAAUUCUCUAACGACCUAGGAUGUUGACAUGGUUUAUAUAGAAGUUAGAUUUAUCAAAUGUAACCUCUAACUCUGUAGUUGUUAAUUUUUUUAUGGGAAGUCAUUAGAGUCUUAAAUAUUAGUUUUAUAUUCUUAUAUUUUGAAAUUUAGAAUUUAGAAUUUUCAGAUAACUUUAUAAGUUGUAGUUGUGAUACAGCUAUAUAGUUGACAAGUUUUUUAUUUGUAAACAAUUAGAUCCCAAAAUACUCAUUUUGAUUUUAUUGAAUUUUUAGAUACAAUUUUUCAUAAUUUUCAAACGAUUUCUCAUGGAGGCACAUCCUACACCAAACUUGUUAUGGUUGACGAUCUAAACUUCCUAGUUAUAACCUUUUUCAUUUAAAAUAGUUUAGGAACCGAAAUAUUCAAUAUUUAGAUUCCUAAAAGCUAAGAUAAAAAGAUGUAUCCUAUUCCAAGACACAGAGUGUGUAUAGUGUAGUGAAAUGAUGAGAAGUUUGAGGCAAUAAUAGGUCACAGGUUCGAGUCCUAGGAAGUGCACAUGCAGUGUGGCAAUGAUAGGAGUAUUAGUCAAUCACGCUAGCGAAGAAACAGUAUUUUUCUGUCACAGCAAAUCAGCAGCGAAACGAACACUAAGAUUGCGGGACUCACUGUGUACCAGGGUAUGGCAUUGCCUAAUUUAUGCUAGACUAGCCAACGGAUCUUGAGAAAGUCAUAAAAAAGUGAAUCACUAUCGAUGUGCUAUCACUUACCACUUAGAAUAUGUAUAUGUAUAUAUGUAUGCAUGCAUGGCCUGCAAGUAAUCUAGCUAGGCAGGCUCAUUCAUUUAUUCGUUCUGUAUGAAAACUCAGAUGCCCUUGUCGACAUGUAUCCUAGUGUUUGGACACGAAGGGACACAACCUUUGUAUUUGUGUAGCCUUUACGCGUUGUUGUUACGUUGUACAGCUUGAACUUUGAAUAAAGUGUGUUCCCUACUAUAUGUAUUAUUCACUUAUCGUGUUGAUUCGUGGAAUGCGAUCCCCAUAUAUACAUGGACAACAUCCAGAAGCAUCAGACGAAAUUAUCAGUCCAUCCUCCAGGACCCUGUCAGUUCCCAGUGCCGGCCAUCCGGCCUAUUAUUAGACAAAUGGAUCCUAAAUUAUUCAGUUGCACAACUAAGGGCUUGUUUGGUUUCUCUUGCUAAAUUUUAGCUAGCUAAAAAUUAUUUUAGUUACUCUUGGGUGACUAAUAGAACUAAACUAUUUUAGCUCCUUUUAGUCAAUGUGUUUGGAACUUUAGCUACUAAACUGACUAAAGUUUAGCUAGCUAAAAUUUAGUUGGUGGAACCAAACAGAGCCUAGGUGUUGAAAGCAAGGGAACAUACAUGCCGCAAUUAUCAAACUAAACUACACCGAUUUUGUUUUUAAAUUUGCGACAACAGGUAUUAGCAUGAUAUGGUGACCUAGAACGAACCCUGCUUUGUCAUCAGGAAAUCCUAUACAGCUAUACUCAACUAGCCUUUUUUUUGAAACAUAUACUCCACUAGCCUUUAUUUGCCUGAUGAAAUAGACGUAAUGACAUUGAGGGUUAGGCUCGAUCUAGUCAAAGGCCCUCCUGUAAAAAAAGGUCUAAGUUAUAGUAAAGCCUAAGUACUUGUCUGUAAUUUGUAGAGUAAUGGAAGGUUGGGAGUAAGAUAGUCACCCUGCUGUAUAAACAGAGCCCCUUGGCUAUGUAAAGAGGUGCACUACUGUAUUUAGGGGCUUUGCCCAGAGCGUGGGACGCUCGGCAAAGGUAGUUUAGCUCUCGACAAAGGCUUUGCCGAGAGCGACUUUCGGCAAAGGCCCUUCGGCACAUCUUUUAUCGGUAAAGAGGUAUUUGCCGAGAGCUAUCCAUCGGGCUCUCGGCAAAGGGUUUGCCGAGAGCCAAAACCCAGCUCUCGGCAAAGAAAAGUAACCGUUACGGCUGAUGGCGACUUUGCCGAGAGCUGUCUGGCCAAGCUCUCGGCAAAAAGAAUUUUUUUUUUUGAAAAAGUCGUUGCCGAGAGCCUCCAGGAGGGCUCUCUACAAAGAGAUAAUUUUUUUUUUAAAAAAAGGUCUUUGCCGAGAGCCUCCGAGAGUGUUCUCGACAAAGAGAUAAUUUUUUUUAAAAAAAAAGUCUUUACCGAGAGCCUCCAGGAGAGCUCUCGGCAAAGCUGGAUAUUUUUCCAAGCUGAUGGCUCCUUUGCCGAGAGCCCUUCCCCUGGCUGGGAUGUGCAUGGUGCUUGGCGAUGGCUUCCUUUGCGGAGGAUUCAGUACCGACGGGUAUGCCAUAGUUUUCUUCUUAUGCGUUGGUAACCGAUUCCUCUGGAUGCUUCUUUGUGCCGUCGGAGCCCAUGCCAUCAAUGGUGACGCUGGUCUCGCAAGCUACGACAUGAUGUCAAAUGUACGGUGGGGUUCUAGUGGAUUUGAUUACCAACUCGAUGAGAAACCGGGUUGGGUUUUGGUUCCCACCUUCUUUGGUGGUGCCGCUCCCCUUCGGGGUUCGUCGUCGUCGUUCGGUGAGCUGAGGGCUCUGGUCCUUGUGGCGUCAGAUUCCUCGGUGUCCGACGAUGUGAUGGUCGACGGCCAUCUUUUCCAGCCGGGUCGUUCAGCGGUUACAAAGCAUGUCGGGAUCAACGUGCUACACAAGACGGCAACAAAAAACUGUGAUUCUUCGCCGGAGAGGAGGUUGGCCUCAAGCAAUGUGCUCUGGCCGCCGGCGGCGAGGCAAACCAGGAGUUGUCUACAAGAACUGAGUUGUAAUUUUCUUUUCUUUCAAGGAUGUUCUUGUAAGAUUUGGGCUAUAACCACCAAAACUUUUAUGUGAAGUAAUAAAAAUCCUGGUUUCUCCAACAAAAAAAAAAAAAAGUGGUGGUCGUCGUCGACCCCGCCGCCGCCGGUGAGGACGGCGCGGAGCGGGCUGGCGUAGAAGAGCUCCACGCACAUGUCCAGGAACGCGCCGCCGGCCACCACGGGAGCCCCGCGCGUAACGACGAAGGCGGGUCGGCCGCGACGAAGCGCGCCACCGCCAGCUGCAGCAUAUAGCAAGUUUGGAGCUUUUCAUUUGUCGGAGUUUCACAAAUGGGGAUGUAGCUCAGAUGGUAGAGCGCUCGCUUAGCAUGCGAGAGGUACGGGGAUCGAUACCCCGCAUCUCCAUCUAAUUAUUUUUCGUUUUUCUGUCUUGCCCAAACUUUUUAUCCAGUCCAUCCGGCCCUUUUGUCGUUUUUCUGUCCAGCCCAAGCUUUUUAUCCAGCCCAACCGGCCCGUCAUUUCAUGCAGCGAAUUGAUAGUUUUUUAUCCAGCCCAUGCAGGAGUAGUGAAAGUGACGGCCCACAGCAAUACUCUUCUUAGGCCUUAUUUAGUUUGCAAAAAUUUUUGGGUUUAACUACUGUAGCAUUUUUAUUUAUAUUUGAUAAUUAUUGACUAUGUACUAACUAUGCUUAAAAAGUUUAUCUCAUAAAUUAUAGACAAAGUGUUAAAUUAGUUAUUUUUUAUCUAUAUUUAAUACUUCAUGUAUGCAUCUGAAUAUUCGAUGUGAUGGGGAAUCUUGAAAAUUUUUUUAGAACUAAACAAGGUCUUAGUCUUUCCAUUUCCUCUUUUUCUUUUGGAGCAAAAUCUUUCCAUUUCCUUAUUUUUCUCUUUCGUUUAGCAUUCCACCUGAAUCCAUCCGGCCCACAUCAGUAUUGCUUUUGGGCUUUUGUUAUCAUUCUCCCUGAAACGGCCCACAGAAGUAGUGAAGGGACGAUACAUUUGCAGCGCCAUGUACGUCUCCAUUUUUUCCUCCCGGAAGGUACAACUAUUCUUCUCCCAAAAAAGCCCAUCAUCUGGUUUUAGUACAACUACAUUAUUUAUUUAUUGCAUCUUCUUCCCUUAAAAAAAAUAUUGUCUAAGCUCACAAGUUCAGAACAGGGUCUACUGCUUUGCUGCUGAGCUGGCGGAAGGACGAACAAAGCAAGCACACGUCGCCUGAUAAUUUGGAAGAAAACAUGCCCAUGUUUACGCCUUGUUCAGUUCCCAAAAUUUUAGGUAUUUAGGUAUUGUAGCACUUUUAUUUUUAUUUGAUAAAUAUUAUUCAAUUAUGGACUAAAUAAGUUUAAAAGAUUCAUCUCUCAAUUUACAGACAAACUGUAUAAUUAGUUUUUAUUUUCAUCUAUAUUUAAUGCUCCAUACAUGUGCCGCAAGAUUCGAUGUGAUGAAGAAUCUUGAAUUUUUUUGAAACUAAACAAGGCCUUAGUAGCAAUUUCACCUAUUAGUUUCCAAAACGUAAAACUUAACAUGAAAUAGAUCUCUCUCAGCGCAUAGUUUUAUUAGCACAAUUUCAUGGGCUUAUUUUUAGCCUUUCAAGUUCCAUUGGGUUUUUAAAACUUUUGUGGUUCUCACGUGCACGAGAUAAAACGAACUAAAGAUUCUCAGUGGAGGUUUCAUGUGGUUUCCAAUAUUUUGGAAACAACUUUCACUCGUUUCGUCCCUAUAUAUGAAACAUUUCCCUUUUAUCUCUUUCUCGAUAUAUGCAAAAGCUCUAUUUUCUGCUAAUGUGACACUUCAUUUAGUGUAUAUGAAAUCUACAUUGAGAUUGGCCUUAUUAUUAUUAUGCACGUAGAAAUAGUUUUUUUUUAAAAAAAAGAGCCCCAAGUAAUGAAGGCCCUCAAUCGUCGUGAUACAAACAAAUUAUGUGCCAAUACAAUACUCACUCAAUUAUUGAAUAACUCAACUUAUAGAGUUAUUAUCGUAAAUGUUGCCACUAUUUUACAUAAAAUUAGUUAAACACAAAAAAGUACUUAAAAUACCUUUAGAAAUGAUAUAUAUCUAUGGAUCUCUUUACAACUAAAAAGAGUAAAAGAUCGACACCCGUUUCGUGCGACAUUCGGCCGACGGGUUUUCGUCCUGCCUCCUCCUGCGACGCGCCUCCUCCUCCACGCAGACGCAGAGCGCCCGCCUCCCCCUCGCCCGCCUCCUCCUCCACGCACGCCUCCUCCUCGGCGCCCCCUCCUGCGACGCGCCUCCUCCUGCGGCCUCCUCCUCCACGCAGACGCAGAGCGCUCGCCUCCCCCUCGUCCGCCUCCUCCUCCACGCACGCCUCCUCCUCGGCGCCCCCUCGCCCGCCUCCUCCUCCACGCAGAGCGCCCGCCCUCGACGAAUCCUCCACGCAGAGCCCCCACGCAGAGCGCCCGCCUCCAUCCUCCUCGACGAAUCCUCCUCGGCGCUCCCUCCCAGAUCCUCCUCGACGAAUCCUCCUCGGCGCCCGCCUCCUCGACGAUCCUCGACGCCCCCUCCCAGAUCCUCCUCCACGCAGAGCCCCAUAUCAUCCUCCUCGGCGCCCCGCUCCCAAAUUCUCCUCGGCGCCCGCCUCCUCGACGAUUUCUCCUCGGCGCCCCGCUCCCAGAUCCUCCUCGACGAAUCCUCCACGCAGAGCCAACCGGUGAGCCACUACGGUGAAGCCCAUGGCCAAAUUCCAGACGCCUGCAAUAAUAGGUAGCAUGUCUAAUGUGUAUCUAGGUUAUCUACCUUUUCUAGAAUUGAGCAUUUUAAUUUUAACUCUGGUUACCAUUACCAUCAAGAAAGAGAGAUAAUCAGUAACAAAUUGUUUUUUAGGAAAAAACAAGAAAUUAAUUGAUAGAAAAUAAGUUACUUUUGGAAAUUUUGAUAGAAAAAAGCUAACUCAAUUUAUGAAAAAAGCUAAGUUCAUCUUGACUGAUGGGGAAUGAGAUGAUAAAAGUUAAGUGCUAGGCUAUUAAGUUAAGUAUGGUCUUGUUCUAACUCAACCUACCCUGGUACUUGCUUCCCUGAUUGUGCAAAUCAGUAGAUGGUUACUCAAAAAAAGAGAAGCUAUACUGUAGCUCAGUCUAAUGCAUUUCUUUUGAUUUAGUUAAUACCAAACUCAAUCUUUUCCUACUACUGCAAAGUUCUUUGUAUAGGCUUGAAUCUCAACAUAGUGUUGUAUGUAGGAACCCUUAACGUAUAAUGCUUUUGUUUUUGGAAAAAAAAUUCUAUUCUUUCUAAAAGGAAUGACCACCUUCAUGCGUUGCUACAGUAUUUUCAUUGCAGUCCAUUUUGCUGAUGGUCUUGUUUUCUGUAGUUCAAGAGGCUGAACCUGAAGAAAAAUUAUUGGAGGUGUGAAUCCUACAAAUUCAAUAUGAUGGAUCUUGGAUGUGUUGCUUUCUCAUGCAUGCAUUGGUGAAAUAAUAGCAGUAAUGUAUAUACAUUUAUUUUCCUUUUCUUUUUUGACUGAAUGGCUACUUGAAAUAUGUUAAUUCUAAAACAAGCAGUAUAGCUAUUAUGUGCUUCACAUUAUUGUAGUAUCUUUUCAGGCCUGACCAUACUACCAGAGAGCUGGAACGCCGCCACCAAGGUCCACUACCACGCCGCCAUCGAGGACCAAUGCCACAUCCGCUCAACCGUUCCUGAUACCAGGUUGGGCUGAAUAUAAUCUCACUUUUGUUUCUUUGUGAUUGUUGAUGGUAGAAGAUAAGAAGCACUCAAAUCAGUAGAGACCUAAACUUAUUUACUAAUUCAGUAGAGACAUAAGAUGUUACAUCCUGGUUAUGAUCGCUAUAGAAAUCUUUGUGUCUUUGUCGAGACAAUAUUGAUUCAUAGAUAUUUUAGUGUUUCACAGCUUAGACUAUAGUUACUAAUAAUUGGCCAAAACAAAUAGUCUGUCGAAAUACACUUGAAAACAUCAAAUGCCAUGAUCUCUUGGUAAUAAAGUGUUGUAGUUAAACAUUGUGUGCCCGUACCUUUCUACCUAUCAUGUUAUUCAAUUCUGAUGGAUCUUCUCACUGUGGUUGUUUUUUAGCAGACAACUACUAUAGGCAGUAGCAAUCAGUACAUUAAACCUGCAAUUUCUUAAUGUGGCAACUGAGUUUACACUUGCAUCUCUAGAAUGUAGUAGCUAAGCGAACAUAACGUGAUAGCCUUUGUGCUGUGGACGAUCGCUAUCCUGUACGGACUGUAUUUUUUCUCCUGAAUAAAAGGUACCCAAACCUAACUUUAGUUACGAGUGAAAGGAAAAGAGAAUGUCUGUGAAUUGGUAGCUUAGUGUUAUUAACCAAAACUCCAAUAACAUGAAUUAAAACUAUCUUUUUUUAGGUAACCAUGCUACUACUGCAAGCUAAUAGUUCUAAACAUGUGUUCCUUUAUUUAUCAGUUAUUUUCACUCGCCUAAGCUAUAUUGGUAGUUCAGUAUCAGCUAUAUUCAAUAUUUUUUAAGGAAUUUAGAUUAUUUUUGCUUCAGCGCAAUUCCCUGAAGAUUUAACAAUUUGAAGUCCUUCGAAUUCAUGCAUUCAGUGCUCUUCUUUGUCUCUUUCCACAUAUCCUGUACAAUAUAUAGCUUUACUGAUGUUAAGAGUUCAUAGGUUCAGGUUUGCAUUUAUCUAAACAUAGCUGAUCAGAUGAUGCUACCAUAUAUUUACUUAUGCACUCCUAUGUUGCAUGUGAGACUAUUGAUAUGAUUUUUUAAUAAUAAUAGAACACUUAAUUCCUUAAGUAUUUGUAGCUGAUCAACGACCUGUUCGUCCAGGAUAGAAGCAGUGGUGGUGCAGCAGCAAGGGGAUUUAAUUUAGUAAGAUGUGUUGCACACAUGUGCAUGUGGUGUAUGUGUUGUGGAUUGGCCAAAUAAAAGCUAUAGGUAUUGAAAGAAAAUAAGAGAAAAAAUUAUGGGGGGCCGAACAGACAAGGGUGCCGAAAUAGCCCCUUGAGAAAAUUAUAAUUGCCUUAAAAACUAAAAUUGUCGCCUUGCAUUUCAGAUUGGAAUUUUAGUUUUAAGUCAUUUAUAUGCUAUUCUUGCAUGUUUAGAAAAUUAAAUUAUUACUUAUAUAUUGACAGAAAAAUAUCAUAUAUCUUGAAUUCUGGAGAGCAAAAGCUACUCCCAAAAGCCAAAUCAAAGGUACCCUUAUUCUCAUGGGACUAUUUGCUAGAUGUAUUGAAUUCCCGCAAACUAAUUGCGUAUUUCCAUUUUGUACAGAUUGCAAUUUCAGUAAAGACACACAACACACAUGUACGAGUAAAGGUAAGCAAUUCAUGCAUACAACAUUGAUUUUCCAUUUAUCUUUUUUUUCAAUCUGAAAUGAACCUAUCUGACUACAGAGAAUACUAAAACUAUCUUUUAGGUGUCCACCUCCUAUGUUGACAGUGCCACCCUACUCCUCGGUGACUUCAGAUCUUGAUUGCCUGGCAGCGUCCUGGCCUGAUUGAGUGGCAAUGGUCACGUUGGCCUGCCGCUCUUAGGCCGAGGACAACAAGAAGAAAGGUGUGUCUGCCAACUGUUGUGGUGGUGUCCUGGGCUGAUUGAGUGUUGUCUGCUCCAGUCCAUUGACAUUGCCCCAAAAUCUAGCUAUGGAUGUGCAAAAUCAUCUCUCAUGUUCAGUGUUUCAGUACGACCUUGCAAUUUUUGUUGUUGUUUAUUUCAUAGCAGAUGGAGUUUAGAUUGGGUUCUUGUUAUUUUGUCUAUAGUUGUGUUUGAAUUUAGCCAAGCAAUUAAGAUCUGUACAUUCUUGACUAAGUUCCGAUAAUCUGAUGCAAGCUAAUAGAUUUUUGUUAGCAUGAUAGGUUCUUGGAAAAUCACACAAUGUGUAUUUUCUGAGCAAUAAUCAUGGCUAUUCUUACUAAGAUUUUGUACCUUUUGCCUUUCAAUAUUUUAGUCUAUCUAAUUGCAGUUUUAGAGCUGCACAUUGGAUUAGACAGAGGAGCAGAACAACAAUGAGGCAUCGGUGCGAGGGGACAACCAACAACCAGGAAGCUAGGGGUGCUUCCUCAGUCCUCACGCUGCCGAGUCGACUGCUGGUAAGUUCAUGUACCCUCCUGUCUUUGCCUUUUUCUCCCAUGGCCAUGGUGGAAUCUGCACUUUUAGCCAUGGCAAUGUGUUGCUUAUGCUGCUCUCGAAGUACUAGCAAAUAUUUUUCUUUUCAAAAUUGUGUUGAUGGAUUGUAUAUCUAUGGCAAUAAGAAAUAGCUAGAUUUUUUAACUAACACAUCCACCCAGCUGGUGUCCAGCAUUGUGAUGCUCCUGCAUCUUUGUGUCAUAGGCUCUAAUGAUGCAUUGGUGUCACGAAAAAUAGACCUAUUGCCUUCUGAUAUUUUGGUCCUAUUUAGAAUUUGUAGUAUGACCCGACUCCUAUGUUAAUAUAUGUUAGAUGUUUUAUGUUAUAAAUACAUACCUUGAUGAUUGUAAACCAUCAAUGAGAAUUUUGAUGCUUAUGCUGCUCUCGAAGUACUAGCAAAUAUUUUUCUUUUCAAAAUUGUGUUGAUGGAUUGUAUAUCUAUGGCAAUAAGAAAUAGCUAGAUUUUUUAACUAACACAUCCACCCAGCUGGUGUCCAGCAUUGUGAUGCUCCUGCAUCUUUGUGUCAUAGGCUCUAAUGAUGCAUUGGUGUCACGAAAAAUAGACCUAUUGCCUUCUGAUAUUUUGGUCCUAUUUAGAAUUUGUAGUAUGACCCGACUCCUAUGUUAAUAUAUGUUAGAUGUUUUAUGUUAUAAAUACAUACCUUGAUGAUUGUAAACCAUCAAUGAGAAUUUUUCAAGCCUUUUCCUGUGCUUAAUAUCUCAUGAAGUUUUUUCUUUCCUUGUAGGAUGGUUCAAUUUCAGAUGUCAUUGGCCUUAGAGCCCACUUAAAACAAGUCUGAUGAUGCCCUCUCAAACUUACAAACUAGACUUACUUGACCAUGUACGUUUAUGACUGUGCAUCUUAGAUUGCCUCAUAUAUUGUAUUAAUUCGAAGGUGAACUGAAUGACAUAUCUCUAAACAACCUUACGUGUUGAUGGUAGAUUUUUAAUCAUUGGUUUCUAAGGUGGUGCUUAGUAAAGUGAAGUAUAAGUUGUACUUGCAAGACAUUUGACCAUACAAAGUAUUUCAGUUACCCAUGACACUGCUUAAUCGAAGCUAUAAUGCAUAUAAGAUAUUUCUUUCACAGUAUUUUUUUUAAAACUUUCUUUCACAAUAUUGUUAUUUUAUCGUGCGACCCGUGUGUUUUUAGUAUAAAAUGUUAGUUAUCCCGUAGCAACGUACGGACACGCUACCUAGUACAUAUAUUAAGUACACAAUUUGUUCGCAUAAUACAGACCAACUGUCUUUGCAAUAAACAUGGGAGCGAGAGACUUAUAAUUUUUCAUGCACGUGCGGUGGUAUAUGCGGUGCGGCACACUUGAGCUUUGUGAGUUUCAUUGCGUCGAAAUCACCACGAAUUUUGGAGACUUGCAGAGCAGACUAUGCGCUAUGUUAUUCCUCGCAGAAAAGAAGAAGACUAUCCUAUGUUAGCCCCCCCUUUUUUUUUUUACGAAAACUAUGUUAGCCUUAAUUAAAUAGAUUGGAGUAUGCAUGGAAAUGCUUCUUUUGAGGAUUACUAGACUUUUACUAAAAUGGAUGGUGUUGUGCCCUACCAACAAGAAGGAUUUACUGAUGGAGUAGUAUAUCCACAAGAUCAAAUAUGCAGGCGGCAGGCAAGACCCUCUGGCUCCCUUUUGUGAACCGGCCUGAAGUUUCACAGAAGUGAGGUUGACGAGUCGAUUUGGAUGCCCAUGUAUCAUGAAGACCAAACUUUUUCUUGGCUAGAUGCAUCGUCCUGGUGGACACCUUUUGGCUUGUUAAACUGAUGUGCCAUAAGGAUUUAUGGUCUUUCGAUAUUGUGCCUUGUUUAGUGGUAUUUUUUUUUUACAAAAUAAACACUAUAGUAUUUUUGUUUAUAUUUAAACAAUAUUUUUUAAUCAUGGACUAACUAAGUCUAAAAGAUCCGUCUUAUAAAUUAUAGGUAAAUUUUAUUAUCUAUGUUUAAUGUUCAAUGCAUAUGUCGUAAGAUUUAAUAUGACGGAAAAUCUUAAAAAAUUUUGCAAAUUAUUUCUUGAGAAGUAAACAAGGCUUUAUUUGAAAGGUUGUUAGGGCGAAAUGCCCUUAAACUCUAAAUAGAUUGGAGUAAAAGAAAAAACGGGGUUAGAACGAGCACAACACUGCUAUACGAGACUAGGGCCUUGUUUAGUUCCGAAAAGUAAAAAAUUUUCGAUACUGUAGCACUUUCGUUUGUUUGUGACAAAUAUUAUCGAAUUAUGAAUUAACUAGGAUCAAAAGAUUCGUCUCGUGAUUUACAGCUAAACUGUGUAAUUAGUUUUUGUUUUCGUCUAUAUUUAAUGUUUCAUGCAUGUGCCACAAGAUUCGAUGUGACGAGGAAUCUUGAAAACUUUUUGAUUUUUAGAGUGAACUAAACAAGGUCUAGCUAGAAAAAUACUAAGAGAUCACCACUACGUACAUAGUAGGCCAGUCGUCCAUCGUGAAUGUACGGUGGUUGACAGUUUCGAUAGCUCAAGCGAACAGAGUCGUUACGUAUUCCAUCAGGCUGUGCUAGCGUCGACCGACAUGGGACUCUGUGGUGUGGGUCGCCGUUUCAUCCUGCUUCCUUUGCUCCCAACCAACUUCGUUGACCACCGGUUGGUUUGUUGAUGAUAUUCGCACGCGGCGUGGCGUCGGCAACGGGACACGUACCAUUGCGGUCACAAUGUUGACCACACGACGACAUGACUGUCUACUUUCGUGUUCCUGUUCAGGCCUCGUUUAGUUGUGAAAAUUUUUCGGAUUUUGACAAUAUACUACUUUCGUUUGUUUGUGGUAAAUAUUGUCUAAUCAUAGAGUAAUUUAGAUCAAAAGAUUCGUCUCGUGAUUUAUAGGCAAAUUGUUUAAUUAGUUUUUAUUUUCGUCUAUAUUUAAUGCUCCAUACAUGCGCCGCAAGAUUCGAUAUGACGAGGAAUCUUAAAAUGUUUUUGGUUUUUUUGGUAAACUAAACAAGGCUAAGGGUCACUCCGGCAGCUAAAAUUUGUCAGCCACAGACAAAAGCCUGUUGUAUAGUUGCUCGCCUCGUGACGCAGCCACCACAGUUUCUACAAUAUGCACCGUUCCGGGGCUGGUGUGGCGGCUAAAAUGCUCACCACACAAUGUGGCGCGUGCGGGCUCCGCUCUUGUGGCAGGGUACGGCUAGCGUUCAAACAUUUCCUUGUUAAAUUUAUCAUAAAAACCAAACAAAAUUUAAGAUUCUUUGUUAAAUCGAAUCUUGCGAUACAUGUAUAAAAUAUUAAAUAUAGAUAAAAAUAAAAACUAAUUGCAUAGUUUGUUUGUAAAUCACGAGAUAAAUUUUUUGAGCCUAGUUAAUUCAUAAUUGGAUAAUAAUUACUAAAUAAAAACAAAAGUGCUAUAUAAUGCUCCAAAACCCGAAUUUUUUGAACUAAACAAGGCCUACGGAAAUCGCCACCGGAAUGUGCCUUGUGCAACACGGCACGUACGUAUCACGUAGUAUGCCUACACACCGAGAAUCGUACGUACUACUGUAGUAGACUCUGCAACAACGGUCCAAGAAAAUUGGACGUACUACACUGCGCACAUGCACGACACGUGCUAUCGGAAAGCGUACGAGUCCAAAACCGAUAAUACAUAAGGGCCCGAGUGUAAAUUCAGCUGGGAGCUACCGACGGCUGCACGGCAAGGAUGUGCAGUUGUGUGUUGUGUAAUGGCAACAGCCACCCAACACCAAACCAUAUUUAAUCUACUGCUGUCGUUACUAUUUGCAUCAUCCCGCGUCACACGCCUGUGUCCACAUCCUGCUCCAUGAAAAAUUUAUUUGAAUUUAGGUCUUGUUUAGAUCUUAAAAGUUUUUUGAAUUUUCACACUAUAGCACUUUUGUUUUUAUUUGACAAACAUUAUUCAAUCAUAAAGCAGUAACUAGGCUUAAACGAUUCGUCUCGCGAUUUACAGAUAAAUUGUGUAAUUAGUUUUUAUUUUUCAUCUAUAUUUAAUGUUUCAUGCAUAUGCUGUGAGAUUUGAUGUGAAGAGAAAUCUUAAAAAGUUUUUGGUUUUUAGAUGAAUAACAAGCCCUUAAACCUCACAGUGAUAUACAGCCACAUGCCCACAUCUGUCACUGUCACCACUGAUGACCUGUUUGGAACAAAGAAUUUUCGGAGGAAUUUUGGAGUCCCUAGUUCCUUUGGAAACGAUCAGGUGAAUGAAUCACAAAUGCACGGGGAAAACUGCAAACGAACCUUGAUUUGUCUGCCACUAGUCGUCGAUCGUGCAUUUGAAUGUUGAAACACGCGAAAUGUUUUCCCGUGUUGCCUUGCCUUGAUGAGGCAUUGUUUAGGCCUUGUUUAGUUCCAAAAUAUUUUGCAAAAUGGACACUGUAGCUUUUUCGUUUGUAUUUGACAAAUAUUGUCCAAUCAUGGACUAACUAGGCUCAAAAGAUUUGUCUCGUCAAUUCCGACCAAACUGUGCAAUUAGUUUUUAUUUUUAUCUAUAUUUAGUACUUCAUGCAUGUGUCUAAAGAUUCGAUGUGACGGGGAAUCUGAAAAAUUUUGCAAAUUUUUUUGAGAACUAAACAAGGCCUAGUUCGAAAAAAAUUUCAAGAUUCUCCGUCACAUCAAAUCUUUGAUCGUAUGCAUUGAGCAUUAAAUAUAGACGAAAAUAAAAACUAAUUGCACAGUUUACCUGUAAUUUGUGAGAUGAAUCUUUUGAGCCUAGUUACUCCAUAAUUGGACAAUGUUUGUUAAAUAAAAACCGAAAGUGCUACAGUAGCCAAAAACUGAAAUUUUUGCAAACUAAACAAGGCCGAAGCUUCCACUGCAAGAAGUGACCUACCCUUACCCUUCAUUCCAAUUGUACCAUACAUUCAAAGUUCCACACAUGCCAAUUGGAAAAAGACAUACAAUCUCUCCUAGUAUGUCCCAAACAAAAAAGAAAAUGCAUUACGUUGGCCCUAAUACAAGUUAGUAUAUUUUUACAUGAAAGUGACAUCCUUGUUUAGUAGGUAAAUUUUUUUGGAUUUUGAUACUGCCACUUUCGGUUGUAUUUGAUAAUUAUUGUCCAACUAUUGACUAACUAGGUUCAAAAAAUCGUCUCGCAAAUUACAGACAAACUGUACAAUUAGUUAUUUUUUAUCUAUAUUUAAUAUUUUAUGUACGGGUUCAAAGACUCGAUGUGACAGAGAAUUUUGAAAAAAUUUUGGAACUAAACAAGGCAAAAAAAAAAGAAAUUGGUUGGCACGGUCAAUAUUGAUAAUGACAUCUCACCUCUCUUGCUUUGCGAACCCACACGUUUGUACACCCCCGAGAUAGAUAAACAAUGCAAAAGAACUCGUGCGUAACAAAACAAUGACCCCACUGUCAGUUGGAGUCGGAAGCAAGAUAUUUCAUGAAAGGUCCUUCACAACCCUUGCUUUAUUUUAAUCUAUCUACUACUCCAGUAAUAGCUCACUAGUCACUACCACCCACACACACAGAUACAUACAUACAGAGCCACAUCAUGCAUAGUAUAGGUCCAGCAGUGUCACAAUCUCCAUCAAAAUCAAUUCUUUUUCAGAGACAAAUUUCCAUAUUACACUAACCACUGCCACUUUUCAUAGGUCACCCUUGUACCACAUCACCACACUAGUUACAGGCCGAGCUGAGUAGUGCAACCACACACCGUCCUUGCUCUCACACGGUUGAGCCAUUGAGCUGCGUCAAGGCGAACCCAUGGCGACGCCGCCGGAGGAACCGCUGCCGCUGCCGCUGCCGCUGCCAAAGCCGCCAGAGCCAAAGCCGCCGAAGCCCAAGCCGAAGGGGCCGGACGAUCCCGAGCCAGAGCCGCCGAAGCCCAAGCCAGUAGGGCCGUUGCCUCAGCGGGACGGGGUCGGGGACCCCGGCAGCGGCGUCGUCGCCACGUCCCCGCCGGCGGACCUCCUCUGCGCCGACACCUGCUCCGGCGCAUGCGCGUACUUACCGCACUGCCAGCCGCCGCCUCCCGCAUCGUCGUCGCGCGGGACCACCUUGCACCUCCGCUCGAGCCGGCUGCCGACACCGCUCAUCGCGCUCUCGGCGUCGCUCCUCGCCGUCUCCGCGGUCCUCCUGCUCGCGCUGCUCGUCCACCGCCUCGUGGCUCGGCGGAGGCGGGCGCGGAACGCGGCGCUGGUGGCUCACCACGGUCACGGCGAGGAGGGUGGUGGCCACCAGGUGCUGGCUGGCGCGGUGGCGGGCGGCGGCGGCGAGGAGGAGGACGAGGAGGAGGCCGACGGCGGCGGCGGCGGCGUGCACCACGUGUGGUAUAUACGGACCAAGGGCCUCGACGAGCGCGCUAUAGCGGCCAUCGCCGCGGUGGUGUACGACGCCAAGCAGCGCGGCGCCCUCGGCCUCGGCGGCCACGGAGGGACCGACGGCGACGGCGACGGCGGCAGCUGCGCGGUGUGCCUCGCGGAGUUCCGGGACGGCGAGACGCUGCGCCUGCUGCCGCGGUGCGGCCACGCGUUCCACCGCGGGUGCAUCGACACCUGGCUCCGCGCCCACGUCAACUGCCCGCUCUGCCGCGCGCCCGUCCAGGUCUCCCUCGCCGCCGCUGCCGACAAUCCUAACGCCGCGCCGGGCGCGCCCACGGCCACGUCGGGGGGCCGACAGCGGCAGGAGAGGAAUCUUGUUGGCGCCGCCGUCGGUGCCGUUCAGGCGACAGAGGAGACCGCGCGCGGCGGCGUGCCAGACCGCGCCGUCAGGCGGGCCGCGUCCAUGGUGGCGCUGCCGCGGCGGGCGUGGCCGGACGUCUCGCUGCGGGCGCCGGCGUCGAGCAGCGGCCGCGAGGAGGACAUGACGGGGCUCGGCAAGAUCAGCCGGCUUCUCAAGUUCUCGGACGCGCUGGAGAUGGCCGGAAUCGGGGUCGAGCGGUCGGUCUCGUUUGGCGCCGGGAGCUGCCAGCGCUUGCCGACAAGGUCGGGGCCCUCGGCCGCCGCCGCCGGCGUCAGCGCUGACGAGACGUCACAGUGAACUCGUUGAUGCCGAGUUGCCGACGAUGAGGCGAUUGGGUAAAAAUUGCAGCUUUGGGAGUUGGGAGCUUGGAGGGGUGAAGGUUGGUGUUUGGUUUUUUGCGAAAGUUUUGUGUGCCACAUGAUGGGAAGAUAAAAGUGUCAUCUUUCCAAGUUUCGUGUAUAAUCAAUCACAAGUAACUCGUGAGUUUGUGCAUAUACUUGGGAGCGUCAGAAAUUGUAAAUAAGAAUUCCUGACAAACAAGUUUAAGUUUUGUAUGCGAAAUCACAGUACGCAUACAUGUGUAAGAUAUAACAUAUCACUUCUGUUCGUUCAGUACUUGUUCGUUUGGCUGAUAAGACUGAUUUGUUGUGAGAAAAGAAUACUGUUGAAUGACUGAUUAAUUCGGCUGAUAAGUUCAAGCGAACAAUGAGACAUUUGUUGCUAAAAUUUGGCCGCCUGAUCUCUAGUUUCUCUGUAUCCAUCAUGACCCACAAUGACCUUUAUUUAAAGUCUUGUAUGUCUAUGAUCUUUAAGCUGCUGCUGCCUGCAGGAAUAAGGACCAAACAUCAGUCUCAAAUUCUCAAUAUAGUUGAGAUUCAGGUGAAGAGUCUUCACACACAAUUGGCCACAUAAACUUUGAAGGAGUGAAUAACUUGUGGAUCAUGCCAAUUGCCAGCUAAGGAAUUUGUUCUGUUCCCAUCCCAAUCCAGAAUGAAUGGAUGCUUGCUAUCCCAAAUCCCAACCCCAUUCACCAAAAGUAAAACCCGAGCAUUGCCUUGCACCUGAAGGCCUUGUUAAAUUUGCCUGCCGAGGUCAGGAUUCUGGACAAGCCAUCUCACCUGCCCUUGCUUGCCAUGUCUCUGUCAGGGCACUAACACCUCAUUAAAAACGAUGCUUCUGUUUGAAACGCUAAUGGUGUGAGGUUAAAGUAGGCAGGGUUGGCAGUUCUGCCCGGUCGCCUCUCAAGGCAGUGUGACAUCAAUUGUUUGGACCGGGCGGUUGUUGCAGGUCGUUGUUGGUCAUCAAAUGCGAUGUGGAUACUGCAGUGUGCCUCUGCUGCUGUCUGUGUGUGAAGCUUCCAGGAUAGAGUAAUCACCUUGAACUUUUUGGCGUCGGGGGUGCAGAAAUGACAUUCUCUUUUUUUUUGGUAUACCUCUGACGAUUCUUGUAGGGCCUUGUUUAGUUCCGAAAAGAUUUCGGUACUGUAGUAUUUUCGUUUUUAUUUGACAAAUAUUAUUCAAUUAUAGACUAACUAGGCUCAAAAGAUUCAUCUCGUGAUUUAAAAGCAAACUGUGUAAUUAAUUUUUGUUUUCAUCUAUAUUUAAUGCUUCAUGCAUGUACCGCAAAAUUCGAUGUGAUGAAAAAUCUUGAAAACUUUUUAAAUUUCGGUGGAAACUAAACUGGCCUAGGUUCAUAUCAGGAUAAGGUCAUGCACACCGGCACACCGCACAUCUUGACCCUUUUGAGAUGUCCGUUCUUGAAGCAACCUUUUGGUCUCACUGCUUCAGAUCAUUCAAAUGUAUCGUCUGUCUGAGCGUAGGGGUAGCGAACAAAGGUGACACCUUUGAGUUCAGCAAACAUAUCAUCGUAGAACAAGAAAGCGACACAAACCGAGCAUAGUGUCACAACUCACAACACAAAAGAUAUCUGCAUUUUUCAAAUAUUUUUUGUACAGAUUUAAUACACAUACAUAUUGAAUUGUUUUCGCAUACAAAAUAAAUUGUUUCUGAACUCUCUAUAUUGGACUCUUGAGACAAUCUCCUUGCAAUUCAUAAGUGCAGCAUGAAGAAACAUUGUUACAGAUGACUAUCACUUGCGGCCAUCAACUUACAAAACUUUGACAACAUACCCUUUUUACUACAGACAUGACAGGGCUCAAUGCCUUUUGCUGUAUAGUUGUCCUUGAGAAAAUAAUGAAGUCGACCUAGAAGUCCAAAAAUUUUUCAAUCUCUGAAGCAAAAUUGCAGUAGAGUUGAUCAGUCAGGGCUGAACAUAAAUCUAUCUCAACGCGGCAACAUUGCCAAGAUGUCUUCUUUGUGCUGCAUACAGUAGUACACCAAAAUUGCAAGAAUAAUAACUAGUAGCAUGGGCCAUAUGCUUGUUCCUGUCAUGACACAACCAUCCAUUUUUAGUAUAGGGCUUGCGGUUAGUGGCUGGAAAAAACAAAUCUAUGAAUUAAAGAUGCAACAUACCAUUACUCUUCGGGGACCCAACAGAUGUCACCCUUGCAGAAGAGUCAAAGGAAGUUGACAGCAAUGUUCUGAAAUGAUAUAAAGCAACUACAUUGAGAAAUUGCAUUUUUUUUUCUUUAGAUUCGUCAACUCGAAGUUCAAGAUAAUAACCUUGAAUCCUGGGAGAAGGCCAGUGUAGUAACAAUACCAAGAUGAGCCUUUUUAACUGUUACAAGUGUCCGCAUGUCUUUUGAGCUCAGUAUGAUGAUGCUUCCUUCAAUUGUUCCACUAGAAACCGAAGGCAGACAAAUAAAAUUUUCAAGAAAAUAAGCAAUGGUAUCUCUACAAGAUUAUUAAGAAAUAAGACCAAGGGGAUCUUUCCAAUCUCACAUUCCAAGAAGAGCGCCGUUGGGUGACACAGCAAAAGCUGAAAUGGCCUCACGAGUUAUUUUCUUUGAACCGAUUCUCGUCCAUGAGGUAGUAUUCCAAGAUACUAUUUUUCCAUAAUCACCUAAAAAGCAAUAUUAUUCAGGUAUUGUCAGACCUUAAGCUUGCUGUCUAGUUCAAUUUGUAACUAGGUCAAGUACUCAAGUUCAUCUUAAUGCCAACCUUGCAUCACUGUUAUAAAUAGGACAUGACUGUUGUCAGUCUUAUUACAGAAUCUGCAGAAUCCAAAUAUUUCCCCCUGAAAAUGUACAGAUCAAAACUCUCUUGAAACAAGACAAAAUCAUUAAAAUAAUGCAUUUCGUCCAAGAAAGGAACUCACUGCUUCUCUUGACAGACUGGCUACAACUUCAGAUGACUGCAGAUCCCAAACUCUACAUGGCCCGCUGCUCCUAUUCACAGCAAGAAACUUCUCAUCGGAACUGAAAGCAUGGACCAAAGCAGAGGAACCCAUCAGUAUCGUGCAAACAAUAUUCAAGUGGGAAGAGUUUAGUGAUCAUUUAUUUACCUGAUGGUAAGAUCCUUAAUCGAUGUUUUAGUAUCAGUUUCUGUGAGAACAGACCCCAUAGCAGGCCACUUGAAGACUCUUAAAUGCCCAUCCUACAAAAGGAAAGAAAGAAAUGAACAUGUCAAUAACCAUAAGAUUUCAGUGCCAUAACAGAAAGACCAAGAGAACCAGGAAAAUCACAUAUGAACCAUGACAAAACCUCAAAGCACAAAUGCAAGACCAUACUGAAAAGUUAUCUACUUAAAUGGAGGCAAACCAGAUUUGUCUUUUUAUUAUAAUGUAAAGCAAGAAUAAAUAUAAGUGCUCAAAGACUGUUCUGCCAGAAGGAAAUGACUAUUAAGAAGUCAACAAUGGAUAAAACCUAUUGAAACUGAUAAGCACAUCUUUGGUUUUAACGGUAAAUUAAGGUGAUGGCACAAACAUGUAUAAAACAAGAACAUAUCAUAAAAAGUGCAUCUCAAGAACUACUUAAUGUGGAUAGCUGGUCCUAGAUCCCUAUGUCCUUGGUUGUCUGAGGCGGCUGGUCGUGUUUCCCCAGUAUAUUUUCUAGAGUGUUGUUUUUUCUAAACCCCGUGGGGAUGCCUGGGAGGGGGUUUCUUACUUCCCUCCCUUGUGUCAUUUUAUUCUUCUUAAUGAAAUGGCAUGCAGCUCUCGCACGUAAUUCAAGGGGGAAAAAGAACUACUUAAUGUUGUUUGAUAUCUCCAUAUGUAAAGACAUAAAGUAAAAAAUAAUUUCAUUCAAAACUACACUGGCUGUACUUUCUAGCCAAAGAUUUCUGUACCAUGUCGACCAUGAAACAAGAAUCCCUUUGCCCAACAUAAACAAUAUACACCAACCUUAGGUACUCAGUAUCAGAAUCCCCCAUACAUAAUAUUGUAGCAAAUGAUUAUUAAGUUGACAAAAUGAGCAAAUUGUUUGGCUACAUUAGUCGGUACUAACAAAUGUUGCUUAUGAUGACCAUAGUCUAUACAAUUUUUCUGCAUGAAGCAAUGAAAGAUAAUAUUUUUAGUACACCUAGAAAUUACUAAGCUAACAUAUCUUUCUAAGGCAUUUUUUUCCAUUUAUGAUGUCAGACUCAGAAGAACAAAUAAAGUUGAAAGUUACUUAAAUGCAUUCCAAACUAGGUACUCGAAGUGCCUAUAGUUUUCCCUAUGGAAAAUGUCAAAUAGGAAAGGAAAUAAAAAGAAGGUAAAUACUAAACCUACCGAGAGUUACAAAAAGUAAAAUGCAAUGGAAAAGUACGCCAUAUGUUAACUUACCUCACCACCAAUGGCAAGUAUUGAACCUUCUCCACUGAAGGAUACGGCCAACUGCAAACCAACAUCUUUCAGCUCCGCUAAAGCUUCCUGGUCUGGCUCCAAGGCCAGGUUCUGUGGUCCCUCUCCUUCCUGUGAUUCCCAUCGGUACAACCUACAUGAGUGUUUUCGUAGUUAAAAAUUAUGAAAAAAAACAAACUUUUCAGCCAAGUUCAAUUAUUUAUUGUUCACAGGAAUACAAAACAAUGCAGCAUUAUCUUGUUGUAGAAUAUAAGAUGAUGGCAAAGCAUAUAAGGUACAUUUUGUAGCUGAUACUUUCUGAACCAGAAACACAUCUAUACUAACAAGUAACAACUAAGAAAUCUCAAAGUAUACUUCAUGUUAGACCACAAAAACCAGAUUGUAAGGGAUUUAAUUACUCCUACUAAGGAAACAGAAAAUAAUCAAGCACGCCCAAAAUACCACCUUUUACUAGCAAGUAUCAACAGUAGAUAAGCUAUCUUCUUGAAUAUCAUGGCUUCGGCUACUAUAUACAAGACAAUUCACAAAUACCUUCGCUUCAGGUCAUGUCACUUGUUACUAGCAAGAUUCCACAUUAGAUGUUAUCUUCGCAGAUGGAGUAGUUUAUAUUGAAUACCACCCAUUAUCUAGACUAGACAAUGAAUGGAGGCGACAAAUGACAUUCGGAUCAUUUGUGCAUAUCAGAAUACAGAACCAACCAAUACAUUAGCACGCAGCGCAGGGUACAAACCCAAAGGAUAUGAUCCGAGGGGGUGAGGGUGCAUACCUGCAGCCGUUGGGGAAAGCGCAGAACACGCCAUCGCCGCGCGGGUGUACAGCCAUUCUGUACGGCACCUCCUCUUGGGUCUUCACCUCAAGCACCUGCCCACCACCACGGAAUGCCGAAAUCAGCACGAGACACUGAGCCCCACCCUAGAUCGGAGCGGGAUCUGGGAGGACGGAUCGCUCACCGUCUCGGGGGAAAGGGCGGCCGGCGCGGCGGCCUCUUCCCCGGCGGCGAGGGCCGCCACCACGAGCUUGUUCGGCACCCCGCUCCGGCCCUCCCCGCCGCCGCCCCCGAGGACAGCCAUAGGGGGCGGGGGAGAGGAGGGGGAGGAGGAGGCAGCAUCCGCGUCCGCGUCCGCGUCCGCCUCGGCGGCGGGAGGGUCGGGCUUGAGGAUGUGGGCGAGCGGGAGCCAGGCGGCGCAGUAGAUCGGGAAGCCGUAGGACUGGCUACCGCCGCCGCCGCGAGUCGCCAUCGCGCGGAGAAAGGUGGGGGUGAGGAGCGCCCGGGUGCCGGAGGGGAGGUGGGCCGGUGGCGGUCGCAGUCGCGGUGGCCGCCGGUGGGGACGCGCGGCGGACGGUGGAGGGGAGAGCGUGGCUGGUGACGGGAAUAUUAACGCGGCUGUGUAAAGUUCCGUUUGGGUGGGUUGACCACUUGACCUCGAGAAGAGAUGGGUUUUCUUCGCUUCAAAGUUGGGCCGUAUAAUCGAGGAUCUUUUGGUCAAAACUAUAAAAAAAAAUGUAAGAAGGGACGGUAUGAUUCGUAUAAUCGAGUUUUGUUGUAAUAAAAAAAAAUUAUAAUGUACUAGGAUCAUCAACCUGUCAUGUAUACUGGUGAGGUGUACAGAUUCUCUAUAAAUCACCUAUUUUAUUAUUAAGUAGUGCACCACACAUUCAUGUUACUUCAUCAAUGUUUAAUCUCUCUCUCAUUUAUUUUUUCAUAAAAUAUAACUUUUUUUCUUAUGCUACGGCAAGAAGCAUAAAUUGUUGAAAUUUGACUGCACAAAGAUGAGAGAUUUUACAAGUUGACACAUUUUAGCCUUGUCUUGCCUACCACUUCUGCACCCUGUAGGUGCUCUUGCACCAUUGCCACUCUUGCUCCCACACACCUCCACAAAAUGGGGACCGCCAUAGCCACCGCUCCCAUUGCCAUCCUAAGUCCAGGGGCGCAAGUGAUAUUGAUUGACUAAUCCCAGCUUAUCCUCAUAAAUGUCUAUAGUUGAUGGUUGCCGCAUUGUGUCUAUGGUGAUCGGUGAAGACAUCUUUCUUUUGUCGUGGAGAUGUUCACCUCGUUUUUACCUAUUUGCAUGGUCGGGCUCCUAGUCACGUUGUUGGUCCUCGUCUGUUGUCUAUUAUGUUGGGCAUUUCCUCUUUUCUUGACCUCUACCUCCACCGUUAUCAUAGAGUCCCUCCUCAUCCUUUGUAGGGACACUAGGACAUGGACCAUAUGUUUAUCAUUAGGCUUAUAAUAGAUGUAUUUGUAUGGUAAAUGUAUGAGUACAUCUUUUUUUUUUUAGGAAACUGAAAGGGCCAAGGCUUCUACGUAUGAGACCUCUAUCUAAAUUAAUGUGUGGAGAAUUUUUCAAACUCGUUUUUAUUCGCAAAAUGCACUUGUGCCACUCUGUUUGCUUGAGCUUAUCUGCUGAAUCUGCCAGCCAUUCAGCAGUAUUUUUCUCUUAUAAUAAAUCAGCGAACAACACUUUCAGUAAUGACUUUUCAAACAAACGAACAAGCUUGAACCAAGUGGCAUGAUCGUGGGCAGCGCGUGCGCUCGGUAAACAGUUUUUUUUUCAUUCUCACUAGUACUUUGAGCCUUCAUGAUAUGCCAAUGCUUUUGACGGCAUUAAAAAAGGGUAUAUGGAUUUAUUACAAUGUACAUACAUAUUUACUAGUAAUAAAUACUUAUAAACGUAAGAAAGUGCAUGUGUACAUGAUUUGUGCGUGAAAAAGUUCUUGCUUUGAAAAUUUAUUUUGCACGACAAUAGUUUGACGUUAAUUUCAUCCAACUAGUCAGAUCGGACGGUUGACAUUCACUGUUGCAAUCGCAAAAGUCCAUACGGCCCGGCCGCCCCCAAACAAAACCUCACCCUUCUCUUAUCCGCCGCAACGGCCGCCCGCCGGCCACCACCUCCACACCCCCCCUCACCGGCGAGAUGCUGACCUGCGGCCGCUUCAUCUCCUCCUCCGCUGCUACCAGCACCGCAUCCUUCUCGCCGUUUCGGACUCUCACCCGCUCCCUCCUUCGCCGCCCCGCUCCCCGCCUCCUCUCCUCUGCCUCCGCCGCCGCCGCCGCCGCCACCGCCGUCGAACCCGACACCAAAGGUAAUAGAUUUAACCUUCACUCUUCAUCUCAACGACGUACAGUUAUCUAAGCUUCCGUUUUUCCUUUCAGGCGGCGGUGGCGCGGGAGGUGCUGCUGCUGCGGUGAGGCCGCAGUGGAAGGCGGCGAUUGAUUUCAAAUGGAUCCGGGAUAACAGGGACGCCGUGGCCGACAAUAUCCGGAGCCGGAACUCCACCGCCAAUCUGGACCUCGUCCUCGAGCUCUACGACCAAUACCUCGCACUGCAGAAGGUCUGGGGCUUGCCAAUGCCGGAGCUUUUUGUUGAAGCUGUUUUUGCUGUCUGACUGUGCUGCGCUAGAUUCGUUGAUGAUAAGCUUGCGCUGUAUAGGGUCAGGUUCUAGUGCGUGGAUUUUGACUUGUGCGGCCCAGGGGUAUGUACUAGAUGGUUGCUCUUUGCUAGGAUUUUCCUCUGAGCUUAUAUUUGAACUGUAGUUUUAGAUGUCCUAUAAUAUGACUGAUGAACUGGCACGGUUUUAUUUCAUUAAGUAUCUAGUUGGCGUGGCUGUUGCGUCUCCUGUAUUUGUCUUGGCAACAGAAGUUUGAAACAGAACUCAAAAGGCUGAACAUGGAUCAGGAAUUCAGGAUAGGAUAUUUGUAAUAUGAUUCAGGUUCUUUUGUCCAUUGAAUUUCCAUUCAAUCAUACAACACCUGAGUUGCAUGCAGAUCCAAUGUUCACAAAAAAUGACUUACAGUACAUUUGAAGAAAUCAAUUGCCCAUGAAAGUCAAAUCUACGAAUUCAUACAGACCCUGUACUUUUUAUGGAGCUCUCUUUCAGAUAUACCUUGUUCUGCAUUACAUUCGGCAACUAUUGAAUUGCAGUGAACGUGUAUAUAUUCUUUCAAUCUUUAGUUGGUUUUGGUUGGCCUUUAACUGUUUUCAGACUGUGCUCUUAGCAAUUUAUCAUUCAUGAUAACAAAGCUAAGUUGCAAAUUUUUUAUGAUCCUUAUGAUUCUUGUUCAUGUGGUGCACACCUGCCCCUUUAAAUGGUUCAUUCUAAACUGCUUAAGACAUGUGCGAUAGUUAGAUACAGUAGCUGUCUAUAUAUGCACUUGAUGAACACAAUUUAUUCAGUUCCAGAAUGUAAUAUGGUGGUAACAGAACGAUGGCAACAAUUCCUAAUUAUGACAGAUGGCAGGAGGUUGAACGGCUCCGAGCUGAAAGAAAUGCAGUUGCUAACAAGAUGAAAGGGAAACUAGACCCAUCUGUACGCCAAGCCCUUGUCGAAGAAGGUAGAAUGAGUAGUUUAUUCAAGCAUGGAGAUAAGGAUUUACCACUAUAUUUGUUUUAACCAUUUUGAGUUACUACAGGUAAGAACCUGAAAGAGGGGCUUAUAGCACUUGAGGAGGAUCUUGUUCAGCUGACAGAUAAGCUUCAACUUGAAGCUCAAAGUAUUCCUAACACUACCCAUCCCGAUGUUCCUGUUGGGGGUGAGGAAAGCUCUGUCCUCAGGAAAGAGGUAAGUGUUGUUUUAUACUUCCUGCUGCCUUUCUACUUUGUACAUUUGAUAAUUUAUUUUGAUUGAACUGUGUAGGUAGGCAGUCAGAGGAGCUUUAAUUUUACAAUCAAAGAUCAUCUUCAGCUGGGGAAGGAACUUGAUUUGUUUGACUUUGAUGCAGCAGCCGAGGUAUUAAUUGCGACAACUUUCACUAACACUAUAUACAUUUUAUGUUUGGCAACACACUGCAGCAAGUUGUUCAGUAAGAUAUUUCGGAUACACCUAAAAAUUCAAACUGCAUGAUGUCAAGUAAAUAAAAAACUCGACCAUGGAUGACGUCAAUUAAAUAGAUCUAAAAUUCUCUGAAAACUUAUCUAAGUAAAUUUGCCUUGUCUUAGUGAAAGGGUCUGUAGUCUAGUGGCACAAUAACCUUAGUAACCUGGGUGUGACUCCCCUGUGGGAGUGAAUUUAAACAGGCUUGGGUUAGAAAUACCCUUUGUUGGCUGUGUUCCUGAGCUAUAUGUGUAACCAUUUGAGUCGUUUUCAGUGAGAUACAAAAUGGCCACAGACAUGUGUCCUGGGCGCUCAGUGGCAUGUCCAAGGCAGCCGACCUUUGGGGUGUUUUUACACCUAUGUUUGUUCUUAAUGCAAUGCCGUGGGGGUUUCCCUCAUGUAUCGAUUUUUUGCUUUUAAGUUUCUAUAUAAGUAGAUUUGUUAUUUAGUAUUUGUAAUAAAUGUUUGUACUGUGUUGCACAGGUCAGUGGUUCGAAGUUCUACUACUUAAAGAAUGAAGCUGUUUUGUUGGAGAUGGCCCUAGUGAAUUGGGCUAUUUCAGAGGUCUCCAAGAAGGGUUUCACACCACUCAUAACUCCAGAGAUUGUAAGAUCAUCUGUUGUUGAGAAAUGUGGCUUCCAGCCAAGGGCUCAAAACACUCAGGUAUGAACUCUCCUGGUAAGGAUGGUAUUUAACAUUUAGUUAUUUUGUAUCAUAAAAUACAUGAUAAUAGCCAUUUUAACACAUUCUUUGGUCUAGUGACUUGUUUUUAUUCUUACAUUAUGUUUGCAUUAUCAGCUAUUUGGUAUUUUGGAUUAGACCCUGGAAUCACAACAUAGUUUCUGUUUUGGGCAUUGAUGGAGUCGUUGAAACAUAAUGCUAGCCACUAUUUCUAUUUUAAUAUAUGUAUUAAAAAUGACGGUGAAGUUAUAUUAUUAUGAAAAUGAAAUUACCAUUUGAGAUAAAUAUAUUCAUAUAAUCCAAAAAGAUAUCAUACCCAAAUUUUAGAAAAUUUGACCACAUGCGACCCAAAAAUUUCAACCUUGCCUGACUAAAAUAUUUGAUUGCCCGUGAUACGUUGCUGUGGUAUUAUAUGCUGUUCCAUUUAACCAUUUCAGUUCCUUCUAGGUUCCAGAUACAUUUUUAGGUGUUAUUGUUUGACGUGUACUAACAUGAUUGCUUGCACUUUGCUCUGCAGGUCUACUCAAUUGAGGACAGUGAUCAGUGUCUCAUAGGCACUGCUGAAAUUCCUGUUGGAGGCAUCCACAUGGACUCAAUACUUGCUGAAUCUGCUUUGCCUUUAAAAUAUGUAGCAUAUUCACACUGUUUUCGCACGGAAGCUGGUGCAGCAGGUGCUGCCACUAGGUUGGUCUGUUCUCCUUUUACCUUAGGUUACUGUUUUGCUUAUUGAUUUAUGAUGAAGAUUUACCAUUGUACGAGUGUAUAUUUGCUUCUAUUUUUCGGAUGCUUCAAAACUGUGAUAAAAGCAAAUUUUCACAUCCUCUGCAUUGCGAUUAAUUUUACAGUGUGUUUGUUAAGUUGCUAAAUUUAUCAUUUUAUUAUGAACAGGGGCCUCUAUCGGGUACAUCAAUUUAGCAAGGUUGAAAUGUUCAUAUUCUGUCGGCCAGAUGAAAGUGACAAAUUGCAUGAAGAACUUAUUACAAUCGAAGAGGAUCUUUAUGCAUCACUCGGACUCCAUUUCAAGUGCUUCCUAUUCCUUUUAAUUUCUGUGCCAUGCCCAUUUUUGAGACGAAAUUCCAUGCCACAGCUGUACUAAUGCCAGUGCCAACGUUCCCCUUUUAUAGAACUCUGGAUAUGGCAACCGGGGAUCUGGGCGCACCAGCCUACCGAAAAUUUGACAUCGAGGCAUGGAUGCCAGGCCUAGAGCGAUACGGUGAGGUAAGGGGCAAGUUUACCAAGCUUGUAUACGUCUUCUCAACAUUUCCUUGAAUCAUGCUGAUGAUUCCUGAUCAAACUUUGCAGAUCUCCAGUGCAUCAAAUUGUACAGACUACCAAAGUAGGCGACUUGGCAUCCGUUACCGUCCAUCACCCUCGGAGCCUCCGUCAACGAACACCAAGAAAGGGAAGGGAGCUGGCUCAGGCCCUACACAGUUUGUUCACACGCUCAACGCAACAGCAGUGGCGGUGCCUCGUCUGAUAGUCUGCAUUCUAGAGAAUUUUCAGCAGGACGAUGGGUCGAUUGUGGUUCCAGAGCCACUAAGACCCUAUAUGGGUGGACUUGAGGUGAUCUCCCCAAAAUUCGAGUGACCCUCUACAGUCACCCACGGUUGUGCUUGUGGACUUAGAGCUGUCUACAAAUAUACACUACUGAGUUUUGUGAUUGGGGCUCCUGUUUCAUAACUAGUCUUAUCCCCCCCCCCUGUUUUUGAAUAGCACUCUAAUCUGCUGGUGCACAUUAUAUUGGCCAACUACUGUAAUCUGCAUAGCACUACAAACUCAUGUGCAUGAUUUAGCUUUGAGUAAAUUGCACUAUAGGUCCUUAAACUUUCGAUGAACUCCCAUCUAGGUCCUCGAACUAAAAAAGAUAUCAUCUGGGACCUGAAACAAUCUAUCUUUCGCACCAAUGAUCCAAACCAUGCCACGUGCGCGUCGUGAGCUGACGUGGACAUGCCACUAUGAAGACAAGACUCUGGAGACUCGGGCCUGUUGCCCACUUUGCAAGGCUCCAUCUCUCUAUCUCACUCCUAAGCUCUCGUCUCUCCUCCUGUGCGUGCAGGAGGCUGUCAGUUUGGGCUCUGAUGCGGAAGCGUGCUGGCCACCCGCUGCCGUGCUCUACUCGGGCCUACCAGAACACACAAGUGGCAGAGUUUGUGGCCGCAGCUGCUGGCUUCGCAGUGGUGGCUUGAAGUGCUUGUGGUCAAAGUUCGGUAGUAGGGUCACGGCGGUGCUCGCUAGGGAGGCAGCGUUGAGGAGGGCCACAGGGUGCACUGUUGUGCCAAGGAUGAAGGAAGUGUGCUCUCGGACUUGAACAUCGGGAAAGGCAGCAGCAGCUUCAACGCAGAUCCGGCCGACACAGUUCCUCAACAAAUCGACGCGGUAGGGAAGAUUAGGGGGGGGGGGGGGGGGACGACAUGGACGACAAAUCCAUGCUAGAACGGUUUGGGUGCUUUAAAACCAUCCCCGGAGCAGAGCGCUAUGCGAGCCCGUCCUAGCCAUGGUAGGGGCCGACGAGGCGAGGUGCUCUUGCGCGCCAUAGGUGCUGGACAAAGCAUAUGGUAACCAUGACUUUCUUAAAACAAGAUACUAUAGAUGCAAGUACUCAACUUCACGCACAUACAGUCACAUCUAUAUAUCUUACAAACGCCCACCCACGGAACAAAAUGAGAACAUUCAAGAGGUCGGCUGGCACAUCUUGAUAUUGACAAUGUAAUGUGGUAUUAUCUACGUAUUAAUCAAGUAUUUGGAUGUAGUUAUGGUUCAUUUUUUAAUUGAUUAUAUGCAAAGAAGAAAAUUACAAAAUAGACUCAGAUAAACCUCAAUCAAUGUAUUGAUUAUUUUUGGGAAGUUGCACACACUGAUACAAGAACAUUAUUAUCAAGUACAACUCUUCUGUAUUCUAGAAGAUGGCACCUCCAAUGAUGGGUUGCUGCCACAACAAGGAAGGGUUCAUGAAAGACAUCUGGUUGAAUGGCAGCAAUUGUUGUUGCUGUAGGAAGGUGGCCGCCAAUGGGUUAGCCAGUGCCAAUGGGUUAACCUGUAGCAGCUGUUGUUGCUGGUGGUAGGUGGCAGCGGUUGCAACAGCCGACUGAGCAAAUGGAAGUGACUGUGGCUGUUGUAGGUAUGCAGCGGCGUUCGACACAGCUAGUUGGUUGAAUGGAAGUAGCUGUUGCUGUUGAAAGUAGGCGAUAGGGUUCACCACGGACUGUUGUAACUGUUGUUGUUGUUGUAGGUAUGCAAUGGCAUUCACCGCAGCCAGUGGGUUUGUAGGAAGUAGCUGUUGCAGCUGCAAGUAGGUGGCAGGGUUUGGAAUAGCUAGUUGACUGAGCGCUGGUAGGAACUGUUGUUGUUGUAGUUGCGCUACAAUGGUCUGUACUAGUAGGUGAGCCGAGGAUUGCUGUUGCAAUUGGGCAAUUGAUUGUUGUAAGAUGCUCGCCGCGAGCACUUGUUGUAGCCGAUAGGCCUGCACAACUGGGUGUUCAUACCCAACAGCAGUAACUGGUGAGCACUGCGGAAUGAUGAACGCACUUGUAGCACUCACCGUGAGAGCAAGGAGUGCAAGGAGGGCAAAUAUCUUGGCAGCCAUUGUUUCUAAGAUGUUGCUAGUGCGUUUCACUUGGCAACUUUCUAAUUGCUCUCAAUGAUAUGGGUGGUGGAUUAGCUAUCGAUUUGGGCCAAUUUAUACAAGUGAGAGUUCAUGCAUAUCUAUUCAGAUCUCGGAGUUUACUAAAAAAUAGAUGAGCAUGAGAUGACAUGGCACCUAGUCAACUUCGGUGCUUAGUUAUCUAUUUUGUUGGAUUAUAUGGUAUGUGUUGGCAAGAUAGUGUCGAUUAUGUGCUAGGAAAAAGUGCCCUUUUCUAUAGGAGUUCUCUAGAUACACGAGGAAUGGCAUACAUGAUAACUUCACCUUUAUGCAUGACAAAGCCUUAGCCACAUCAUAUUUGUUAGACUUUAUAAACAUGAUGAGUAUGUAAAAUUAUGAUUUGCUCAUGUGAAUCGAAGCCUUUAUCAACAGAGUUUGUUGUAGCAUCGUCCUUAUGGUUGAAGUAUACAAUGUAAUUAUGUGAGAAGUUAUCAACCAGCGAAUGAUCAAUAAUGCUGCAAGGCCACGACUCAUUGAAGUCUCAGUAUGUCUAAAAUGCAUGCGCAUGCAAAGAAUCUAAAAAAUUGGCAUGCGCAUGCUCAUUACUAUCUUGGCCACUACCACAUACUCCCUUUGUUCUGGAGCACAAUUUAGUUUAUUUUUGUGUAAAAGCAAGCUUGUCUAACUUUGAAAAAGUUUUACAUUAGUUUUAACAACAAAAAUGCACUAUCAAGACAUAAUGACAUAUGCAACGAAACAAAGUGAUGUUCAAGGUUUUUGGUAAAUUUCUAUGAAAUAUGUCAAAGUUAGGUAAGAUUACCUUAGGGAAAAGAUAGAGCAAGUAAUAAAUUGGAGCGGAGGAGGUAUAUGUUGAACUCUACCUCUUGACUCAAAUAGAUGUGCAUCUAAUUUUCACUAAAGUCAAACUUAAAUUAUUUCCAUAUAGUAAGGAGAAUGAUAAAUUUGAUGCGGCUUUUGUUCCUUCCACCACCUAUGAUAUGAAUCUGCCUUCAAUAUACAGGUGAAGAGGAUAAUAGCCAACCUCGUAGCUAUUCGAAACAAAUAUCUCUUUGUGCUCAAAGGCAUAGAUCCAUUCAAGAAUAAAAACAACAUGGCCAUUGACAUAAACCUUGCUCAGCUAUGCUACAAAAACUCAAGAUAAAGGAGACUGAGAUGGGUGUUGUGUUGAUUUUUUAGGAGAAACACUAUAACAUCUGGACUUGGAAGUUUCAUGAAAACACACUCCUUCAUAUUCGUUUUCACUAGAACAAUGAGCACAUUGGUACACAUAAUUAAUUCCUUGGAGUUGACUCAAAUAUAUUUUAGAUUUUGUUUCACAUGAGUAGAAUCUCGUCCGAAAGAAUUUGGGGAACAUUGGGAUAAUAACCGUAAUCGCUAGGACUAGACAACAAGUUUAGGCUAAGGAAAUCUAAAAUGGCUGAAGACAUUUAAAAAUAAUAACUUCUAUUGACACAAAAUUAGAGUGAGACCAAUAAAAUCUUCAUGGCUUGAUUUACUAUUCCUUGUUCAUUUAUAAAGGAAUGUAUUUCAUGUUUCUACAAUAAUUUGCUUUAUGGGUGCUCACAUAGAUAUGAUAAGAUAUCUUUUCAACUUUUAUAUGACAUGCGAGUUAAGGUUACAUUGAUGACAGUGUUACAAACUACCUCUAGUAAACUAUCUUGUAGGUAAUAAACUUGUUCAUUUGUUUAGUUUUAACAUUUUAGAACAUGAACGUUUUCACAUUCAACACAUAGAUGCAAACUGCAAUCCAUUGAACUAAUCUAGGUGUCAUAAUGGCACUCUAUGUGGGUUCUCUCUGCAGAACAGCAGAAUGACGGUGGAUGGUUGGUACUUUAAUCUCGGGACAUUACUUUUGGGUUUUGAUAGCUCCACUCUAAAUCAUAUUUUACUAGGUACGGUGUCCAUCAGAAAAGAUCCUAUCUUUCAUAAUGCUACCUAGCAAAAAUGUGAGCUACAAUGUUGAGCAGUCAAUUUGACGUAGGUUUGAUGUCCCUCUGUAAAAUUGUCUCUGGCAUAUUCUUGGGAUAUUAAACUUCACGUUCAUGAUAAUUUUUUUUGGCAUCAAGUAUUAUACUUUGUUGUUAAUUGUUAAUGAUAGGGUCUAGUUGAUUUAAUGCCCUUGGCCUUGUCAAGUUCGUGGGCUCCAAUUAUUUCCUUAUUUUUCUACAAUAUUAUGGAGUCUUGCAUAAUUUUGCUCCAAGAUAAAAACAUAUGCACCAAAUAUUUACUAGAAACAAUAAUUAAGAGGUGUGACUUUGCAUAUCAACUUUGCACGCAUAUAUACGUUUACUCAUGAAUUUCUAUUAUGUUUUCCUUUGUGUACAUGUAUCUGACUUCAAAGAUAUUCGUCAAAGCAUAUGUGGCCAUGACUUUCUUAAAACAAGAUAUUGUAGAUGCAAGUACUCAACUCCACGCAAGUACUCAACUCCACGCAAGUACUCAACUCCACGCACAUACAGUCACAUCUAUAUAUCUCACAAACACCCACACACAGUACCAAAUGAGAAAAUUCAAGGGGGUUGGCUGGCACAUCUUGAUAUUGACAAUGUAAUGUCGUAUUGUCUACGUAUUAAUCAAGCAUUUGGCUGUAAUUAUGGUUCAUUUUUUAAUUGAUUAUAUACAAAGAAGAAAAUUACGGAAUAGACUCAGAUAAAUCUCAAUCAAUGUAUUGAUUAUUUGUGAGAAGUUGCACACGCUGAUACAAGAACAUUGUUAUCAAGUACAACUCUUUUGUAUUCUAGAAGAUGGCACCUCCAACGAUGGGUUGCUGCCACAACAAGGAAGGGUUCUUAAAAGACAUCUGGUUGAAUGGCAGCAAUUGUUGUUGCUGCAGGAAGGCGGCAGCCAAUGGGUUAGCCAGUGCCAAUGGGUUAACCGGUAGCAGCUGCUGUUGCUGGUGGUAGGUGGCAGCGGUUGCAACAGCCGACUGGGCAAAUGGAAGCGGUUGUGGCUGUUGCAGGUAUGCAGCGGUGUUCGGCACAGCUAGUUGGUUGAAUGGAAGUAGCUGUUGCUGUUGUAAGUAGGCGGCAGGGUUUGCCACGACUAGUUGACUGAGCGCUGGCAGGAUCUGUUGUAACUGUUGUUGUUGUGGUAGGUAUGCAAUGGCAUUCGACGCAGCCAAUGGGUUUGUAGGAAGUAGUUGUUGCAGCUGCAAGUAGGCGGUAGGGUUCGGAAUAGCUAGUUGACUGAGCACUGGUAGGAACUGUCGUUGUUGUCGUUGCGCUACAAUGGUCUGUUCUAGUAGGUGAGCCGAGGAUUGCUGUUGCAAUUGGGCAAUUGGUUGUUGUAAGAUGCUCGCCGCGAGCACCUGUUGUAGCCGAUAGGCCUGCACAACUGGGUGUUCAUACCCCGUAGCAGUAAUCGGUGAGCACUGCGGAAUGAUGAACGCAGUUGUAGCACUCACUAAGAGAGCAAGGAGUGCAAGGAGGGCAAAUAUCUUGGCAGCCAUUAUUUGCUAGUGCGUUUCACUUGGCUUGUUUCUGAUUGCUCUCAAUGAUAUGGGUUGUGGAUUAGAUAUUGAUUUGGUCCUAUUUAUAUAAGUGAGAGUUCAUGCAUAUCUAUUCAGAUCUCAGAGUUUACUAAAAAGCGGAUUAGCUUCAGAUGACAUGGCACCUAGUCAACUUCGGUGCUUAGUUAUCUAUUUUGUUGGAUUAUAUGGUAUGUGUUGGCAAGAUAGUGUCGACUAUGUGCUGUGAAAAAGUGCCCUUUUCUAUAGGAGUUCUCUAGAUACACGAGGAAUGACAUACAUGAUGACUUCACUUUUAAGCAUGACAAAGCCUUAGCCACAUCAUAUUUGUUAGACUUUAUAAACAUGAUAAGUAUGUAAAGUUAUGACUUGCUCAUGUGAAUCGAAGCCUUUAUCAAUAGACUUUGUUGUAGCAUCAUAGUUAUGGUUGAAGUAUACGUUGUAAUUAUGUGAGAAGUUGUCCAACAGCGAAUGAACAUUAAUGUUGCAAGGCCAUGGCUCAUUGAAGUCUCAGUACGUCCAAAAUGCAUGCACAUGCAAAGAAUGUAAAAAAUUUGCAUGCUCAUUACUAUCUUGGCCACUGCCACACACUCCCUUUGUUCUAGAGAACAAUUUAGUUUAUUUUUGUGUAAAAGCAAGCUUGUCUAACUUUGAAAUAGUUUUAAAUUUGUUUUAACAACAAAAAUGCACUAUCAAGACAUAUACAAUGAAGAAUUCAAUGAAACAAACUUGAUGUUCAAGGUUUUUGGUAAAUUUCUAUGAAAUAUGUCAAAGCUAGGUAAGUUUACCUUAGGGAAAAGCUAGAGCAAGUAAUAAAUUGGAGCGGAGGGGGUAUAUGUUGAACUCUACCUCUUGACUCAAAUAGAUGUGCAUCUAAUUUUCACUAAAGUCAAACUUAAAUUAUUUCCAUAUAGUAAGGAGAAUGAUAAAUUUGAUGCGGCUUUUGUUCCUUCCACCACCUAUGAUAUGAAUCUGCCUUCAAUAUACAGGUGAAGAGGAUAAUAGCCAACCUCGUAGCUAUUCGAAACAAAUAUCUCUUUGUGCUCAAAGGCAUAGAUCCAUUCAAGAAUAAAAACAACAUGGCCAUUGACAUAAACCUUGCUCAGCUAUGCUACAAAAACUCAAGAUAAAGGAGACUGAGAUGGGUGUUGUGUUGAUUUUUUAGGAGAAACACUAUAACAUCUGGACUUGGAAGUUUCAUGAAAACACACUCCUUCAUAUUCGUUUUCACUAGAACAAUGAGCACAUUGGUACACAUAAUUAAUUCCUUGGAGUUGACUCAAAUAUAUUUUAGAUUUUGUUUCACAUGAGUAGAAUCUCGUCCGAAAGAAUUUGGGGAACAUUGGGAUAAUAACCGUAAUCGCUAGGACUAGACAAUAAGUUUAGGCUAAGGAAAUCUAAAAUGGCUGAAGACAUUUAAAAAUAAUAACUUCUAUUGACACAAAAUUAGAGUGAGACCAAUAAAAUCUUCAUGGCUUGAUUUACUAUUCCUUGUUCAUUUAUAAAGGUAUAUAUUUCAUGAUACUACAAUAAUUUGCUCUAUGGGUGCUCACAUAAAUAUGAUAAGAUAUUUUUUCAACUUUUAUAUGACAUGCGAGUUAAGGUUACAUUGAUGAUAGUGUUACAAACUACCCCUAGUAAAUUAUCUUGUAGGUAAACUUGUUCAUUUGUUUAGUUUUAACAUUUUAGAACAUGAACGUUUUCACAUUCAACACUGUUGAUGGUGGUUAACGUCAACUUUCAUUAGAACUUUAAACCCAAAAGAAAACAUGAAAACACACCAGUCUAGGGUUUUAACUGACAAUUUCCACGAGUUUCGCAUAUUCUGUAUUUUCUAGGGUGAAUUUCAUGAAAGCCGAAAAGAGGGAUUCUAGUGCAAAAUAAACACGAAACUUAUCCACCACGGCAACAUCGCAAACGGGACGUGGGAAGACUCUGGAAGACACCCAAAGAGCCAGGGGGGCAGAGGCCGCCAGGUGGGGCCGGCCGGCCCCACCCUAGCGCCGGCCGGUGCCCUCUACAAGGGUUUCGGCCCCCCUUCUGGAAGCUUCCUCCAGGGCCUACGAUGAGUCAUCUUGGCCUUUGGUUAAAUCGGUUUGAUCCUGCGGCGCACGUCGAUCCAACCGGGAUAUAAAUAAAGUGGCAGACCCCCCUCCCUGAGGGCACCACAUUAUGGAGAUGUAGAGGCGUCCCUCGAAUGGAUGACCUCUCACCUCUAGAGAAUUAGGGCUAGACUUUCCAAUGUAGUAGAUUAGUUCUAGUUGAGAGUUAGCGAGAGCGGCGCUACGCCCGGGUUCUGGAGGAGUCUUCGGAGGAGUCAUCAGAGUUCUGGUAUAUCUUUGUAUCCUUGCUUUAAUAUAUUUUUUCUUCUCUAUUUACUUUUAUGCAUUACAUUUGAUUGGUUAGUAUAGUUGUUAUACUUUAGCAUAGGAUCUCCGCUCGCAUCGGGUGCUCUAAUUAUUAAUUGUGACUAGAGUAGUAGUUUGUAGUAGAGACAUGGUGUCUAGACUAUAGGUUACCUGAGAUUGCACCCAGUUCUACGGAUAGUUGUGGUAGCCCCAGGUGGUGACAGCCCUGACGGCCAACGUAUUCCACCACAUUUGGAUUGGUGUUGUAGGACCGUAGUCAGAUCAUCCUAGCCCCCUUCUCAUCUGUCUGUGGCUAAGUGCUCUGAUGUCCCGAAGUGUUAUUGUGUGAUUGCUUUACCUACCAUGAAUUAGUUAUUAUAGAACCCUAGUAAUAGAGAAGUAUUUGGGAACCUUAAACUCUCCCGUUGUUCUAUCACUUUAGCUAUCUACUCUUUUAUCAUAAGAAUUCUCGGGUGUGUGUCAUAUAUGCAUAAUUCCUAUCAUCGGUUACUUACCCCUACUUAAGUCUAGUUGGUGUAUUAGUUAGUAGAUACAUGAUGGUGAACUAUCAAUAUCUUUAUUCAUUGUUUCCCAGUGGUAAGAUAUAAAUAACGAUACCUGGAAUACUCCUAGUAAAAUGCUACAAUGGUUUUCUGCGCGCUUGCAGAAUCCUUCAUAUUUUAACUGUGCAUAAGAAAUACCAACAAACACCAAGAUGCAAACUGCAAUCCAUUGAACUAAUCUAGGUUUCAUAGUGGCACUCUAUGCGGGUUCUCUCUGUAGAACAGCGGUGGAUGGUUGGUACUUUAAUCUCAGGACAUUACUUUUGGGUUUUGAUAGCUCCACUCUAAAUCAUAUUUUACUGGGUACGGUGUCCAUCAGAAAAGAUCCCAUCUUUCAUAAUGCUACCUAGCAAAAAUGUGAGCUACAGUGUUGAGCAGUCAAUUUGACGCAGGUUUGGUGUCCCUCUGUAAAAUUGUCUCUGGCAUAUUCGUGGGAUAUUAAACUUCACGUUCAUGAUAAAUUAUUUUGGCAUCAAGUUUAAUACUUUGUUGCUAAUUGUUAAUGAUAAGGUGUAGUGUAUUUAGUGCCCUUGGCCUUGUCAAGUUCGUGGGCUCCAAUUAUUUCCUUAUUUUUCUACAAUAUUAUGGCGUCUUGCACAAUUUUGCUCCAAGAUAAAAACAUAUGCACCAAAUAUUUACUAGAAACAAUAAUUAAGAGGUAUGACUUUGCAUAUCAACUUUGCACGCAUAUAUAUGUUUACUCAUGAAUUUCUAUUAUGCUUUCCUUUGUGUACAUGUAUCUGACUUCAAAGAUAAUGGUCAAAGCAUAUGUGGCCAUGAUUUUCUUAAAACAAGAUACUAUAGAUGCAAGUACUCAACUCCAUGCACAUACAGUCACAUCUAUAUAUCUCACAAACACCCACGCACAGAACCAAAUGAGAACAUUCAAGGUUUGGCUGGCACAUCUUGAUAUUGACAAUGUAAUGUCGUAUUGUGUACGUAUUAAUAAAGCAUUUGGCUGUAAUUAUGGUUCAUUUUUAAUUGAUUAUAUACAAAGAAGAAAAUUAUGGAAUAGACUCAGAUAAAUCUCAAUCAAUGUAUUGAUUAUUUCCGAGAAGUUGCACACGCUGAUACAAGAAUAUUGUUAUCAAGUACAACUCUUUUGUAUUCUAGAAGAUGGCACCUCCAACGAUGGGUUGCUGCCACAACAAGGAAGGGUUCUUAAAAGACAUCUGGUUGAAUGGCAGCAAUUGUUGUUGCUGCAGGAAGGCGGCAGCCAAUGGGUUAGCCAGUGCCAAUGGGUUAACCGGUAGCAGCUGCUGUUGCUGGUGGUAGGUGGCAGCGGUUGCAACAGCCGACUGGGCAAAUGGAAGCGGUUGUGGCUGUUGCAGGUAUGCAGCGGUGUUCGGCACAGCUAGUUGGUUGAAUGGAAGUAGCUGUUGCUGUUGUAAGUAGGCGGCAGGGUUUGCCACGACUAGUUGACUGAGCGCUGGCAGGAUCUGUUGUAACUGUUGUUGUUGUGGUAGGUAUGCAAUGGCAUUCGACGCAGCCAAUGGGUUUGUAGGAAGUAGUUGUUGCAGCUGCAAGUAGGCGGUAGGGUUUGGAAUAGCUAGUUGACUAAACGCUGGUAGGAACUGUUGUUGUUGUAGUUGCGCUACAAUGGUCUGUACUAGUAGUUGAGCCGAGGAUUGCUGUUGCAAUUGGACAAUUGGUUGUUGUAAGAUGCUCGCCGUGAGCACCUGUUGUUGCCGAUAGGCCUGCACAAUUGGGUGUUCAUACCCCGCAGCAGUAACCGGUGAGCACUGCGGAAUGAUGAACGCACUUGUAGCACUCACUAGGAGAGCAAGGAGUGCAAGGAGGGCAAAUAUCUUGGGAGCCAUUGUUUCUAUGAUGUUGCUAGUGCGUUUCACUUGGCUUGUUUCUGAUUGCUCUCAAUGAUAUGGGUGGUGGAUUAGAUAUGGAUUUGGGCCUAUUUAUACAAGUGAGAGUUAAUGCAUAUCUAUUCAGAUCUCGGAGUUUACUAAAAAAAUGGAUGAGCUUCAAAUGACAUGGCACCUAGUCAACUUCGGUGCUUAGUUAUCUAUUUUGUUGGAUUAUAUGGUAUGUGUUGGCAAGAUAGUGUCGACUAUGUGCUGUGAAAAAGUGCCCUUUUCUAUAGGAGUUCUCUAGAUACAUGAGGAAUGACAUACAUGAUGACUUCACUUUUAUGCAUGACAAAGCCUUAGCUGCAUCAUAUUUGUUCUACUUUAUAAACAUGAUAAGCAUGUAAAGUUAUGACUUGCUCAUGUGAAUCAAAGUGUAAUGCCCUGGAUAGGAACACUACCGCCGAAGGCUUCCAACAACAUCUAAAUUUUAUUAUGUUUGCAAAUCAUUUAAAAUUUUGGCAGAGUUUCCCUAGUAUUUUGGGCAUCUAAACAGGUAAAUCACGUUACAAUGACGAUAUAAUCACCCAACAAUAUCUUGUUAAGCAUCCUAACCAACCAUUAAGCAACCUCUUGUUAAGCUAAACAUAUGUAAACUAGGUGUUUGUAUCAUGAAGGUGCUACUCCCGGUUCCCAUGCAUGCUGUUGUCAUUUGGUACCUAAAAACCAAAUAAACACAAGGGUGAGUAAAAACACUUGGUAAGUGCAAUUAGAACCGAAAGAAGAAAUUCAACGUUGUCCAUGAACAAAAUAUCAGAAUAUCCAUAGACAAUAGUUUAUGUGUGAAAUAGAUUAACUUGAAACCUUAGCAUUUACCGGUAAAGCCAAGCAAGUGGGGCCAACAUAAGAACCAAAUUGCACCUCCGGAUAAACAGGCACCAGAAUUGAAUGUAAAAGAAAUCAAGAAACUUGAACUUGAAUAUAAAAAGCAAAUUGCACAUGUGGAUCCACCGGAACAGGAAUUGAAUUUAAAGGAACAAUCGAAACUUGAAUUACAUAGCACACGUGAAACAACUAAAUCAAUUGAAAACUCAACAAUAGGCAUAAGCCCAUCCAUAGGUUCCUCAUGCACUUUCCUUAAGGGCUUGUUAAGUUUGGCGAGAAUCCAGCAUUCUUGCCACCCUCGGUAACAGCGCUUCCCAAACCUGAGGAGCAAACUGCCUUAGAAACUCAAUUAAACCUCUCAGUCGAACCCUAAUAUGUGAAUUCUCAUAUUUUUAGAAGACCCAAUAAAAUUUGAGUUCCUCGCUGCUUUGACCAUAACUCUCAAUUCUGUUAUCCAAAUUCAGCAAAUAAAUACAUGUCAGACAUGUACAGAAAAUUUUCUAUAAUUUGGUUUAGAAAUCCAGGACCAAUUCUGUCUCUGAAUACCUCGAAAAUAGAUCCCCAUUAGUCUAACGUUUUCUAUUCCUCCUCUUUCUUGCCUGUCACACCCCUCGCCGCCAACGCUUACGCCGUCGACGUGAGCGAUUAAGAGAUACAGAUCGGGCGAGGAACGCCGGCGAGGAAUCUUCCUCUGCCUUGCGUGUUCUAUUUUUCAAUGUCUGGAUGAUUGUUCCCCUCCACGGGUUGGGCACUUAUGUGCCAGAUACAGAGUUGGCCUUGGGCCCACAAGUCAUACACUAGAAUUGAAAACGUAAAACACAGCUACACUUCUUCUAUGCGAUGGUGUCUUCUUGGUAUUCUCUUUCUGCUAUUUCCCUUUGCCUCCGCGACGACAGUGGCCUCCCAGGAUCUACGCGCCAGCAGUAGCUAGCUAGCCUUGCUACUUCCCAGCAGCUUCACGUACUUAGCAGCACCAAGAUUAGAUGAAAGCAACUCACGGGAAAACAAUAACUAAAGUAGCAACUGAGAUACAGAAGCAAGGAUGCCUUUCUUUUUAUGAUCUAAAUUUAACGGUGGUUCCUCCUAAAUUCAUCCAACCUCCAGACAAAACAUGUUAGUAGUAAAAUGAAUUCGCUUCGACGAGAUCCACACAACCACGCACGGUGUCCGAUCGUCCAUAAGAUUCCCGGUUCAAAUACUCAAAAUUUGAUCAUCUCAUAGUGUCCGUUCGGUCAACUUAUUAAUUUUGUUUUGAAAAAUUCGGGAUAUUACACAAUGCCUUUAUCAACGGACUUUGUUGUAGCAUUGUAGAUCGUACUCAUCAUGGUUGAAGUAUAUACAGUAACUUCUUUUUAAAUUUGAGGAGACCUCCACCGGCUAUAGUGCAGUGUCUAUAUUGUAUUUCGGUUCCUCGUAUAUUACCAAAUUAUAUGUAGAUUGAUGGUUUGAGACUCUAAACAAUUUGAAAUCAAAAAGUUGUCAAGUCAACUAUAAAGUUUUAUAACUUUUAGAGAUCUAUAAUUUUUAUUUAGGGAGUUUCUCCAUCCGAGAUCGUUUACAAAAUUUGAAUUUCAAAUUUGAGAAAUUCAAACGUAGUUUUUGCAUGAUAAGAUGUUUUCAAAUGAAAAAUUUGUCAACUACAAAGUUUCAUAACUUUUUGAUAUCUACAAAGGUUACUUAGGGAGUUUUUUCAUCCGAGGUCAUUUGAAAAAUUCAAAUUUUCAAUUUUCAAAUAAAGACGCAGUUUUGCAUGACAAGAUGAACUCAAAUGAAAAAGUUGAUAACUACAAAGUUUCAUAACUUGCCGAUAUCUACAAAGUUUAUUUAGAGAGUUUUCCCAUCUGAGGUCAUUUCAAAAAUUUGAAUUUUAAAAUUUUUAAAUAAAUACAUAGUUUUGCAUGAGAAGAUGAACUCAAAUGGAAAAGUUGUCAACUACAAAAUUUCAUAACUUCUUAAGAUCUACAAUGUUUAUUAUAGUUGUUUGAUCAUUUGUUCAACCAACAUGGUGAUUCUAACAUUUUUCACAAAACUUAUAUAUCUCUCUUGCAGUUUCAUAAACUAUAAGAAAGAUAUGUAAAAUUUGUGAAUAAAUUUAUUUUUUUCACUUUGUCAAAUGAUAAAAUGAGAAAAAUAAAGGUUGUAGAUCUUGAGAAGUUAUACAACUUUGUAAUUGAAAACUUUUUGAUUUAAAUUCGUUUAGGGCUUCAAAAUUCGAUUUGAAAUUUUCUUUACCGAGUAUUUUUUUUUACACUCGGCAAAGAAGGUCUUCACCAAGUGUUAGAAAAAAAAACACUUGACAAAGAGGCUUCUUUGCCGAGUGUAAAAGAACACUCGGCAAAGAAAGUCUUUGCCUAGUGUUAAAAAAAAAACACUCAACAAAGAGGCUUCUUUGCCGAGUAUAAACAAAACACUCGGAAAAGAGCCAAAUUCCGGUAGUGAAUUGAAGUCCCAGUACGUAUAAAAUGCAUGCACACACAUAUAAUAUAAGAAAUUGGAAUGCUUAUUACUAUCUUUGGCCACUCCCACACACUCCCUUUUCUGGAUUAGAAUUCACUUUAUUUUUUGUCUAAAAUCAAAAGCUUGUGUAACUUUGAAAAAUGUUUUAAAUAAAUCUUGACAACAAAAAUUGCACUAUCAAGAGCACAACGUUCAAUGGCAUCUCGACGAAUCUGGUGGUAUACAUGGAGACCGUCCUCCAUGGCAGCAACCAUGGCAGUGCAUGCAUGCCUCCUCACCACGUGGUACGGCACCAGCUAUAAGCCUAUAUAUACCUCACGCCCAUCUUUCUUCAGCUGGUUCUACCUCUGCGUCGACUUCGGCCCCAUCGUGUCCGGCCGGUCUCCUCAUCGUGUGCAACGUUAGCUGGGGGCCUCGGCUUCGGCAUCGCCACGGCCUGCAUCGCGCUAGCCUUCCUGCUGCGCCUGCUGCCCCAUCUGGGUGACCAGCGUCAUCGUGUCCUCGACGUACACGCAGAUGUAUACCACCUUCGUCCAAAUUUGUAGUGGUUUUUGAUGUAAAUGUAACAGUGUAACACAGAGUAUAAAGUAUAAACCGUAGUUCUUUACCUACUGGUUCCCGUUCCCAUGUCCAAUCCCUGAUCAACGAGGACUCCAGCUCGGCUGCUCGAGACAACUGAUCGAUCGAUUCCGAAAAGGAAGAGCAGACUCCGUGGAUUCUAACCGGAUUAGCUAGACGAUCAACUCGAACUAUGCAAAUCCUUAGGAGUAGUAUAUAACCAGACGAUGCACGCCGUGGGAUUAAUUUACAACCGCAAGAUAGGAAGCUAGUUUUCAGCAGCCAUAUAGCUAGUUGCAGUACACGUUCUCCCUUGCCAAAAGCAACAAGAAGCAUCGCGGCAAUUCUAUCGAUCGGGCACGUACGCCGGAUGGCAGCUGCUGACGCGAUGGCCGGAGCGGCGGCUACAGACGACGAUGGAGCCGCCGUGGCGAUGGUAAAGAUGGCGGAGAUGCCGGUGGAGUUUCUCCGGUGGGUGAUGGCGCAGGACAAGGAGGACUACCGCGUGCCUACGCUGGAGGACUACACGCAGGAGGAGGUCGCCGAGGCCAAGGACACCAUCUGCACCGUCAUCGGCUGCUUGCAGGUCGCGUACGACGAGUUCGACGAGUUCCGGGCCUGGGUCGGCGACGUGAUCGAGAACGACGGCUGCGUGAUGAUCCACGAGGACAUGCUCUUCUCGGAUCCCAAAGAAUGGCAGGAAAGCGUCGACCAGGAGUGGGCAGAGGCAAGGCAGGAGCUGGAGAUGGAGCUGACGAAACCACUCGGCCAGCACCUGUGCAUGUUGUCUACGUAUCUUUCGCUCUUGUACCACUAUGCAGCGCCCAUCCCGACAUUUUGGGGGCCUUAGCUAUAUAUAUGGGUGAGAAAAGUUAAUAUUAUUAAGGCCAAUAACCAAUGUCGUAGAGACGGUAAGAACUACCGACAUGUUUUUUUUUUCAUAUUUUUGUUUAGUUUUUAAAUUUUCCAUUUACUUUUUUUUUCAUAUUUUCGUUUAGAAUGAAUAGUUUGUUUUCAUUUUCCAACAAGACUUAUUUUGGAUUUUUGCCAAAAAAAAUAGUAAGAUAAUCUAGAGAUGACGUGGUAUCUAGUUGGUUUUGAUAUUUAGUGGCCACUUUGUUGGGUUAUAUACUUUAUACGUCGGCAAGACAAUGUAACUUUGUUGGGUUAUACUUUAUAUGUCGGCAAGACAAUCUCCACAAAAUACAAUGAUCCUCUUGGCAUUUUCCAAAUACAUGGGUGACAAUAUGGCACAAUCCGUUUACCUUUACUCGUGUGUAACCUUAGCCACAUAUGGUGCUACUUUUCUUUGCGGCAGACGCUCACAUACACGAGCACACACUCAGUCCUAUAAAUGCACGCAUGCAAGUUAUUUUGCACUAUAGCCGAUGAGAUGAACCAUUCAUGCAAAAUAAAAGAAGUGGAGAGGAAGGGUAUAUGCUGCGCUGAAAUUGGAUAUGAGUAAGGCUUAUGAUAGAGUGGAGUGGCCUUUUAUAGAGAAGAUUAUGAGAAGAGGCUGGGUUUUCAUGAAAGAUGGAUAAUACUGAUUAUGACAUGUAUUACAACAGUCACUUAUCGCAUACAGGUGAAUAGUGGUUUGACUGAACAAAUCAUUUAUUCUAGAGGGUCUAGGCAGGGGGAUCCAAUUUCCCCGUAUUUAUUCUUGCUGUGUGCGGAAGGUUUUUUCAUCCUUGCUAAAUGAUGCCGAGAUGAAUGGAAGAAGUCAGGGGGUCUCGAUAUGUUCUGGAGCUCCUAGCAUAACUCACCUUUUGUUUGCAGAUGAUUCGUUGCUUCUCUUAAAAGCAAAUGAUGGGAAUGCAGCACAUCUGCGACAUGUUCUACAAAUUUAUGAGAUAUGCUCGGGGCAGAAAAUUAACAAAGAGAAAUCCUCUAUUGUGUUUAGUAAGAACACCCAGCCACAGGCAAAAUGGAGAUUCAUGGAAAUUCUUGAUCUUGCACAAGAGUCAAUGAAUGAAAGGUACUUGGGUUUGCCAGUAUAUAUGGGGAGAUCAAAAGCAAGUGUGUUUGGAAACGGAUACAGGGUUGGAAGGAAAAGUUGCUAUCAAAGGCCGACAAAGAAACUUUGAUCAAGGCGGUGGCACACACUACUACAGGAUUGAUUAACCGCAACGAGACCAUUUCCACCUCCGUGACGGGCACAGUUUUUGCCCGCCACGGUUAUUCAACCGCACGCGUAUAGGCCCGGCCACAGGAAAGCUAUAUUUUUUUUCUAGAUUCUUAAUGGAUCCAUAUGAAACCUUCUUUGUUCGAUGUGUAACGGUUCGCAGGCACGAGAUGGAUAGGUCGGAAUGGAUGUAUGGGAUGAAUCGGGUGCUUGACCCGCGGUACCUUGUCGAAGUGAGGAAGUUUAUUGCCACGGCGAAAGCUCACCGUGAGAGAUCGAAGCGGACGACAACCAUAUGUCCAUGUUCUCACUGCAAGAACCUCACAGCCUUCACGAAAGAAGGUACGGUGCAGUCUCACUUGAUUCGGUUUGGUUUCAUGGAGGGUUACACAGUCUGGACUCAUCACGGUGAAAGAGUGGACCCCAGUGGUGAUGCAUCCGGUUUGAGCUCGACGUCGACGACCAUGAACCAAGAACCUAGAGCGCCCAUCUCAUCUCCAACGACUGCAGGGCCAACCUUUGGCAACAACGACAACAUUGAUUCAGACAGAGUGGAGGAUAUACUCGGGGAGAUGGCAGAUGUUGUUGCAGAUGGCGAGGCGGCUACCAUGCAGGAACCGGAGGAUAUCGAGGUGAUCGAGGGUUUAGUCAGCCACAUCGAUGAAGACGACGUUGUGUAUGGCUCCCCUAAGUGGUUGGAAAAUUUUAGGGAGAUGAAGCAGACUGCACUUGAUCCACUGUAUAAGGACGGCGGUAAUUGUCCAAAGGAGUGUACGGUGCUCCGGUUCAACCUCCACAUGUUGAUGAUGAAGGCCCGGCAUGGCUGGUCUGAUACUAGCUUCAAUGAGCUGUUAAGUUACCUUGCUACCACGUACCCGACGGGUAACAAGGUCCCCGCAAAUACCUAUCAUGCGAAGAAGUUGAUUCGUCCAGUUGCGAUGAAACUUAGAAAGUUUGAUGCCUGCCCCAACCACUGCAUCCUGUAUCGAGGCAAGGAGUAUGAGAAUAUGACGAGUUGUCCGCACUGCGGCGCCAGUCGCUACAAGAGGAAUGCUGGAUGUCGUGUGGACGAAGACGACGAUGUGGCCUUACGGGGUCGUCCGAAGAGGAAGAAGGGAGCCAAGAAUAGCAGUGCCGCCGCCAAUCGCAUCUCAUCUCAGCAAGAUGAGGAAGAAGAGGGUUACACGCGGAGGAAAAGUCCAGCACUAUCGUUGUGGUACCUGCCUGUGACCGACCGCUUGCGUGCACUAUUCGGGAACCCAGAGGAUGCCAAGCUCAUGUCCUGGCAUGCAUCAGCUGACCGCAAGAAGGAUGAUGGCAUGCUGCGGCACCCAUCCAAUGGCCAACAGUGGAAAGAUUUUGACAAGGCAUACCCGGAAUUUGGUAAGGAUCCUAGGAACGUUCGGCUCGCGCUGAGUACUGAUGGGAUGAACCCUUUUGGUGAGCUUAGCAGCUCGCACAGCACCUGGCCGGUUGUACUCACCGUCUACAACCUACCUUCCCAUCUGUGUCAAAGGCGAAGGUAUCUUAUGCUGACCAUGCUUAUCUCAGGACCGAAGCAGCCUGGUAACGAUAUCGAUGUCUUCCUAGAGCCGUUGAUGGAGGAAAUGCAGGAGUUAUUUGAUGUUGGGGUAGAGAUGAUUGAUGCAUCCCGCAAAGAGAAGUUUACCCUAAAAGCCAUCAUCAUUGUCAGCAUCACCGAUUACCCCGGUCUCUUCUCACUAUCAGGGCAGAUCAAAGGGAAGACCGGCUGCGUAGUGUGCAUCGACGGGACCUACUACACUUAUCUCCAGGGAUAUCACAAGAUGGUGUACAUGAGGCAUAGACGGUUCCUCGUCAAGAAGCACAGGUACAGAAGAAGUGUUAUGAAUCAGUUCUUCGCUGAUGAGGAAGAGCCGCAGGGUGAAGCACCAGCUGUGGGGGUAUAAACCCCUAUACCCUUACGGCUAGACUUGGGCCAGAAGGCUUGGCCCAUUACAAGACAAGCUCAAGGUUUGGUCCGACAGCUUGGAGUUUCGCGCAAGGAAACAAGACGUGGAGAUCAAGAAGGAUUCUAGUCGGUUAGAAUAGAAAUUGAUAUCAAACUAUCUAUGGCAAUUGUAACCGACUAGGAUUAGUUUCCAGAUCUGUAACCCUGUCCUCCGGACUAUAUAAGGAGAGGCAAGGGACCCCCCUAGGACAUCAUAUUCUCUCAACACAAAUCAAUACGACCAGACGCAGGACGUAGGUAUUACGCCAACUCGGCGGCCGAACCUGGAUAAAAAGCUUGUCCGUGUCUUGCGUCACCAUCAAGUUCGUAGUUUGCGCACCGUCUACCGAUAAACUACUACCGUGGGUAUACCCCAAGGUAGACUGCCGACUAGCUUUCGUCGACAGUGGCGCGCCAGGUAGGGGGUGUGCGUGCAACUUCUCCGGCGAACAAGAUGGUUACGAUCCCAGCUUCCGCGACCGUGCCUGAAGGCCUCACGUUCACCGUCAGCCAGAUCACGUGGACGACGUGCAGCGGCGGCCUCACGACCACGGUUUCGAAAGAAACUCAGAUCCGAUCUGAGAUCACGCCGUCUCCGACCACUCGCGUGGCGGCACCGAGCGCCCGACCACCGUUCCCGCUCUACAAGGGAAAGAAGAUUGACUGCUCGGACCUUCUCCAAGCGCUUGAUCGCGCUGACUCCAAGCUACUUGAAGCCUCCCAACUAGUAGACGGAGUCCUACGUCAGCCUGAUCAAGCUGCUCCAACGGAUUUUUUCAAAUCCCGCCGGCCAACUCGUGUCGUUACACACGAACGGCUGGGAACGUCUCUGACGAUAACCUCAACCCCCUCAGGACGAUCCGUCAAGCUCAAGAAGGGAGAUCAUCCUUGCGGCCUGAACAACUCAGCCUCUCUUUACUCACGGCACAUCCAAUCCGUUUUCAGCAAGGCGGGUUGGCCGCCGAAAAGGAACGGUCGUCACUACGUCAACGUGGUGGCAAUCCGAGAACUACGGGACGGCCAGGCUUCCAGCACGAACUCGAGCACCGGUUCCGUCACCACCGAAGUUAUAAACACCGAAGACGAGGACUACGACCUGGAUUUGCCUUCGCACCCUCCGGAUUUCCCUCGUUUCCCGGUAUUCCCCCCUCGGCGAGGAGAUAUUGUCUUCAACGUCAGCGCCGACGAACCGGUCGUCGAUGGAGAAACGGAUGAGCAGAGGCAACUCCGCGAGCAGCGCAACGCCGAUCGCGCCCGACGACGUGCGGACGAGCAACAACAAAUUCCACCGCAUAAUCUCAACGACGCUUUUGACAUGGUCGGGGACCAGCCAGUCUACAAGACGCCAAUCGCCAACGUGGCUGUCGCCAUGGCUAAUCUAGAUCGGCUCCCUGAUACCCCUGAGUGCCAAGGAGUCCGGACCAGCAUCCGAGCACACAUGAUCGCCGCAAUGGGACAGACAGCCACUCUGCUCAAGAGAGUCCAGGACGUCUCUUACACAGAAGCCACCUCCGACCAGACUAAUCGUAGCCGGACCUCACCACCUCCCAGCAGGCGUCGCCGUAGCCGCUCUCCCGACAACCAUCGAAAAGAUUCACGGCGCGACGAUGGUGGUCGGGACACUGACGGUCACCGUGAGCAGAACCGCAGACGCAGUCAAGAAGUAAACCAACACAGGGAUCUCCGGCACAACAUUCCUCCCAAAGAUGCCCGGGACCGCAUUAACAGGCGUGCCACAGAAAGAGCAGUCCACGAAAACCUGCGCCGUAUUGAGUACGAUGCACCACACGGCCCCCCGGGCCUAAGACAAUUCUUCUCACACCUCCGCCAGGUCGUGUGGCCCCGCAAUUUCAAGCUCGAAAAACUUAAAAAAUACGAUGGCAAGGAAAAUCCAGAGAACUGGAUCACUCUCUAUGAAAUCGCCGUCCGAUCAGCAGCGGGAGAUGAGCACGUCAUGGCCAACUACUUCCCCGUAGUCCUCGACCAGGCUGGUCAUCAGUGGCUCCUUGGCUUGCCCGAGGACUCCUUCGACUCUUGGGAAGAGCUACGCCAGGCUUUCAUCGACAACUUCAUCGCCACAUGCGAGCAGCCUGGAAACAAGUAUGACCUCGAAAGGAUAAGGGACAGGAAGAACGAACCUCUGCGCGACUACAUCCGACGAUUCUCGGAUAUGCGCCUUAAGAUCCCAAAGAUUUCCCACGACGAGGCCAUCUCUGCCUUCAUCAAGGGCCUGCGUUUCCAUGAAGCGCUGAGGAACAAGCUGUUGCGUAAACGGCCAACAACGGUGGCGGAGCUCCUCGCCACGGCCAAAAAUUACGCCGAUGCUGACGACGCAGAAAAACUAAUCCGAGACGAUGCGAGAGGUCCCGACCCGCCUCCCCGGCGAGACGACGGUCGCGGUCGCUACGACAACAGGAACCACCGCCGCCCCGACAACCGCGAUCACAGAGAAGGUUGGGAUCGGCGGCGCGACAACCGCGACGAUUUCAGAGGAAAGCGCCCCCACGACUACGACCACGAAGUAAAUACGGUCAAGCGCCCCAACGGGCGGCGGGACUACCAAGAAGACUACAACAAAACGUUGAAGGGACCGUGCUAACUACAUCCAAAGUCUAAUCAUACCAUGGAGGAAUGCCGCAUCCUCAAAAGCAUCUAUACACGGCGGGCCGCCCAAGACGACUCCGCUAAGAAAAACGGCAAGCGAGACGGGCACGACCACGAAGACGAGGAUGAGGACCAAGAUAGGGACCUCCGACACCAAUACGUCAGCCCCACUGACGUGGUCCACUCCAUCUUCGGGGGCAAGGUCUCCAUCGAAUCUAAGCGGGAAAGAAAGCUAUUGAAGAGAGCCUGCCUCAACAUAGACAGCACGGACGGGCUGAUCGCAGACCCGAAAUUUCCAACGUGGUCGCACAGAGAGAUCUCAUUCAGCAGGAAGGACCAGUGGGCCGCCAUCCCAGAGCCAGGUCGUUUCCCUCUGAUCCUGGACCCUUGCAUCAACAGCAUCAGAUUCGAGCGCGUGCUCGUGGACGGAGGAAGCUCCAUCGACAUCCUCUUCCGCAACAGCCUGCCCGCUCUCAAGAUAUCUCCGGCACAACUAAAACCUUACGAUGCCCAAUUCUGGGGGGUUUUGCCAGGUCAGAGUUCAGUGCCCCUCAGACAGAUAACAUUGCCUGUCCAAUUCGGCACACCCGAACACUUUCGGACGGAGUUCAUCAACUUCGUGGUCACGGACUUCGACGGGACCUACCACGCUAUACUGGGCCGACCAUCGCUGACAAAGUUCAUGGCAGUCCCGCACUACUCAUACCUGGUCCUUAAGAUGCCUACGGAGAAGGGUGUCCUAACCGUCAGAGGCAAUGUCUACACCGCGUAUACCUGCGAAGAAGAGAGCUUCAAGAUCACCGAAGCAAUCGACCUCUCAAUCCGCAUGGCAGAAACAGCAACCCAAGCCGCGCAGCUACCUCCCGACCAGCUCCGAUUGCCCGAACAAGAGACAGCCAGGAAGAAUUCAAAAUCCAAGGAGUACAAAGAAGUGCAGCUGGUCGACGGCAGCUCCGAGAAGACGGCCCUCAUCGGGGCCAAUCUGGAUCCAAAAUAGGAAGACGCGCUCGUCAGGUUUCUAAGGGACAACGUCAGCGUUUUCGCAUGGAAACCCGCAGACAUGCCCGGCGUCCCACGAAACCUGAUCGAGCACUCCUUAAACGUCUCGAAGACCGCAAGACCAAUCAAGCAAAAGCUGCGACGGUUCGCUCGUGACAAAAAGGAGGCUAUUAGGACAGAAAUAACACGGCUUCUAGCAGCCGGAUUCAUAAAAGAAGUGUAUCACCCCGAUUGGCUCGCCAAUCCGGUUCUUGUACGCAAAAAGAAUAAUGAAUGGAGAAUGUGCGUUGAUUACACAGAUCUCAAUAAACACUGUCCUAAAGAUCCUUUUGGUCUCCCUCGCAUCGACGAGGUGGUCGACUCAACGGCCGGAUGCGAACUCCUCUCUUUUCUAGACUGCUACUCUGGUUACCACCAGAUUUCGCUAAAGGAAGGCGAUCAGAUCAAAACAUCUUUCAUUACCCCUUUCGGCGCAUACUGCUACACGACCAUGUCAUUCGGACUCAAAAACGCUGGAGCCACUUAUCAACGGGCCAUCCAGCAGUGCCUCCACGACGAGAUUCGUGAUGACCUCGUCGAGGCCUAUGUAGACGACGUGGUCGUAAAAACAAGGGACGCGAGCACCCUAAUCGACAACUUAGACCGAACUUUCAAGGCGCUUAAUAGGUACAAGUGGAAGCUCAACCCCAAAAAGUGCAUCUUCGGUGUUCCUUCCGGUCUACUGCUCGGCAACGUUGUCAGUCGCGACGUCAUACGACCAAACCCUUCAAAAGUAAAAGCAGUACUCGACAUGCGACCACCCAAGAACGUCAAGGAUAUUCAGAAGCUUACCGGAUGUAUGGCCGCCCUCAGUUGCUUCAUCUCAAGGCUAGGAGAAAAAGGCCUCCCUUUCUUCAAACUCUUGAAAGCGUCGGAAAAAUUCUCUUGGACAGAAGAAGCCGACGCCGCGUUCACUCAGCUUAAGGCUUUCCUCACUUCACCACCUGUCCUUACAGCGCCUCCGCCCGAUGAAGACCUACUCCUUUACAUUGCUGCAACCGACAGGGUUGUUUCCACAGCAAUAGUGGUCGAGCGAGAUGAACCAGGUCAUGCCUAUAAAGUCCAGAGACCCGUUUACUUCAUAAGUGAAGUCUUAAACGAGUCCAAGGCCAGGUACCCACAAAUACAGAAGCUCAUAUACGCCAUUCUAAUAACAUCAAGAAAGCUGAAGCACUACUUCGACGGCCAUCGAGUCUUGGUAACCACCAGUUUCCCUCUCGGGGACAUUCUGCGCAAUAAAGACGCCAACGGCAGAAUCGUGAAAUGGGCGAUGGAAUUAUGCCCAUUUUCCCUAGAGUUCCAGAGCCGCACCACAGUCAAGUCUCAGGCCCUGGUCGAUUUCAUUGCUGAAUGGACGGAUCUCAACGAGCCUCCCGUUCCCGAUGUCUCCGACCACUGGUCAAUGUUCUUCGACGGAUCCUUAAACAUCAACGGUGCCGGCGCUGGGAUACUGUUCGUGUCACCUAACAAGGACAAACUGCGUUACGUCCUUAGGAUCCUAUUUCCAGCGUCAAACAAUGUCGCCGAAUACGAAGCAUGCCUGCACGGCAUAAGGCUCGCCGUUGAGCUGGGAGUCAAACGCCUUUAUGUCUAUGGCGACUCCGCUUUGGUUAUCAACCAGCUCAACAAGGAGUGGGACGCAACCCACGAGAAGAUGGAUCUCUACUGCAAAGAAAUUCGCAAAUGGGAAACCAACUUCUACGGCAUAGAGUACAUCCACGUGGUCCGAGAUAAGAACCAGGCAGCAGAUGCGUUGUCGAAGUUAGGGUCAUCUCGGGCCUAGAUCCCACGGGGUAUUUUCGUCCAGGACAUCCACGAGCCUAGCAUAGGCUCCACCCUGGUCGAAAAGCAACCUACCGAGGCAAUGCUCAUAGACGAUGCCACUCCGACAACCGGUGGUCGUGAUUGGCGUACACCGUUCAUCAAGUAUAUAUCGGACGGGACAGGCUUUCAGGACAAAACAGAGAACGAGCGCCUCAUUCGACGGUUAAAGAACUACAUCCUGGUCGACGGUAAACUCAUGCGAAAAAAUGCAAGCUCUGAAGUAUUGCUCAAGUGCAUAUCCCAGGAUGAUGGUACCAAGCUCCUAGAAGACAUACAUGCUGGAUCCUACGGCAAUCACACCGCAUCCAGAACGUUGGUCGGAAAAGCCUUCCAGGCAGGUUUUUAUUGGCCAACCGCGGUCAACGACGCAGAAAAACUGGUUCGACACUGCGAGGGAUGUCAGUUUUUCGCUAAGAGGACCCACGUACCCGCUCACGAAAUUCAAACCAUCCCGUCGUCCUGGCCCUUCGCUUGCUGGGGGCUUGACAUGAUCGGGCCAUUUAAACCAGCUCCCGGCAACUUCAAGUUUGUUUUCGUGUUAAUCGACAAGUUCUCCAAGUGGAUCGAAUACAUGCCUCUGGUCAAAGCAACCUCCGAGAAGGCUGUGGAGUUCCUCAAUCAAAUCAUACACAGAUUCGGCAUCCCGAACAGCAUAAUCACCGACCUGGGUACUCAGUUUACUGGCACCACAUUUUGGGACUUCUGCGAUGACAGGGGCAUAGUCAUAAAAUAUGUGUCAGUGACUCAUCCACGGGCCAAUAGUCAAGUUGAACGCGCAAACGGAAUGAUCAUUGACGCCCUAAAGAAAAGGCUGUACAACGAGAACGACAGAGCACCCGGUCGAUGGAUGAAAGAGUUACCUGCCGUGGUUUGGGGCCUCCGUACUCAGACCAGUCGAAACACAGGAGUAUCUCCCUACUUCAUGGUUUACGGCUCCGAGGCAGUCCUGCCGUCUGACAUAACCUUCGGAUCUCCUAGGAUUGAACACUUCGACCAGGCGACAGCCGACAACGCCAGAGAACUCGAAAUCAACUGCAUGGAGGAAAAGCGUUUGAAUUCUUGUCUCCGAACAGUAAAAUAUCUCACGGCAGUCAGGCGAUACCACAACAGGAACGUCAAGGACCGUUCCUUCGUGGUCGGCGACCUGGUACUUAGGUGGAGAACAAGCCAAGAGGGAAUGCACAAGCUCUCCACUCCCUGGGAAGGACCCUUCGUGGUCGCCGAAGUCACACGACCCACGUCCUACAGAUUGGCAUACCCAGACGGGACACGCGUGCCUAACUCUUGGCACAUAGACAAACUGCGACGAUUUUACCCAUAAGUUCUAAUAACUUUCGCUUGUAAAUAUCUUAUAAUUGUCAAUAUUAAAGUUUUCUAUUUUUUGCCUAUACUUUGUUGCACGCAGAACUCUUGGCAAACCUUCUGCAACGGAAGCUCUUAGCGACUACCAAGUCAAAUACGGUGACACGUCACUCAGAUAAUUAUACAGCGCUCAAAAUAACAGUCAUGACAAAGCAAACUUUAUUACAAACUUUAUAUACAAAGUUUACAAUAAAUAUCCUGACGGGCAGACGCUAGUCUAUUCCUACAGACUACCCUAUCGGCCUAACUGCUCGGGCUGAUCACCCGUUUGGCCCUGCUGCCCGGACGAAGGGGUCGGGCCCACCGGCGCCUUGCUGGUCGAGACCGCAGGCGUCGACCGCCCAUCUCCCGCAACAGACGCGCCCGACAGCUCCCUGGCCGACCUGUCUGAGCCUGGCUGGUCGGGGGGAGUGGCCGUUCCGCACAGAUUGAUGUCGCCGAUCACCAUCGACGACAAGUCCAGCAGACCACCCCGAAGCUCGUCCGCCUCCUGCGGGCCGACCUCCUUGGGGUACCCCUUCUCCAGCCUGGACAAGUCGACCAGGGGGUAAUGGGCGCGCACCAUGCUAAGGACAUGCGCACCAGCGAACUCCCCAGCGUCCUUCACAAAUUGCUGGAGCCAGUCCCACGCCCGUUGCGCCUUCUCCACCGGAGUCAACUUCGGCGCGCGGGGCUGGCUCUCCGGGAGCUCGGGACUGAUCAGAUCCAGGACCGGGGAUACUCCCUUCCAGAUCUUACAACAGUUGACCUUCCAGGAGUCCCAGUCCUUGACCAGCUCAUCCAGGUGCUUCUUGGCGUUCACCUUGAGCUCUGCAAGUCAAGCAGGACGUUAUCUUCGACAUAUCAAAAAACAAAGGGGGCGACAAGCGGCAGAUAACGAGGCGGUGCGUAUUACCAGAUAACUCCCGGUCCUUACGACCCAACUCCUCUCCUGCUCGACGCCCGGACUCCAGCGCACCAGCGAGCUCUUGGCUGAGCUGCUCCUUCUCCUAUCGGAGGCGCGUCACCUCCUCCUCCAGGUCUAAGUGAAUCAUAACCUGGUCAGCAAAGCGAACUACACAGCUACACGAAGGUGCUCGGAUCGCGUGACUAACCUUCUCGCUGACGGUACUGGUCGGCCAAGCGACGGGUAAGCUCGAGACAAUGCUCCUCUUGGGCAUUCAUCUCGGCCACUUUCUCCCCAACCUCCGAUCGCAGCCGGUCCACCUCCGCGGCUAGGGCCUUGUUCUCGGCCACAACGCCUUCUAUCUGGUCGAAGCACCGUUUCCGGUACUUCGCCGUUUUCAUCGCGCCCUACAAAACGAACAUAUGACAACCAAGCAAGACAACGUACAGAAUGUACAACAGUGCAAAGAACCGCUUACCUUGACUUCGUCGACGAGGCGUUUGGCCGCGCGCUCGACCCUGGCGGCCUCCUCGGUCUCGGCGAGCUCCUCAUGCCCGAUGAAGUGAUCCCCGCGUUGGCGCCACACAUACACGUGUUGGCGGCCAUCGCGGGGACGACCUUCAAUCUCCUCCACCUCAUCGUCGGAGGCCGCCUGGGUUUCCUCCUCACCCGUCGUUUUGCCCCCGGUAGCAGUCGAAGGCAUUACUGGCCCCCGGGCCAGACCCGGGGAGCCUGCAGUCGAAGCGUCCCCUGCUCGGGGCGGCGUGGGGACUUCGCUCUCCUCGGCAGGAGGAGGGGUCGGGGCUCUCCCCUCCCUUUCUGUGGAGUUCGCUGGGGGAGGUGCCCCUGUAGCCUCCUCAGCCCUGGCCGGGCUGCUCGCCGUGGUCGGUGCCGCGGCUGGGGGCUCCUCGGUGCUCACAGGCACGGCUGCAGCCGCAGGCUGCUCCGUGGUCUGCGGCGCCGCGUCUUCAGCAGCGCAGGCAGGCUCACCCGCCCCCUGGCCGGCGGCAUGGCCGGGGUUGACAUCCGACGCCGCGCUAAAAGAACAAAAGUACAAUAAAAAAAAAGCCAAAAUACGUAAGUCGAACACUUACAGGUCCGAUCGACGGUGGGUCGCGGUGAACCUCCUCCUCGUCCGGCCAGUCGGCACCUGCGCCCCCAUCUCGACAACGCGCGGAGCAGGAGGGUCGCUGGCCACCCGAUCAGUAGUGGCCGGCGCACUAUCUGGGCGGUUCCGAGGUCGUCGAACUAGCGACGGUGCGGCCUCCUCGUCGUUGUCGUCGUCGUCGUCAACGAUCCGCACGAGCCGACGGCGCUUCGGCGCUUGGCUGCUCUCCGCCGGCAACGUCGGUACCGGCAAAGGAUCUGCCGCCAGUGGCCUUUUCCCCGCCACCCUCUCCUCGGUGGUCGGGACGGGGCGGGCCUGGUCCUCCUCACUGCUGGUGUACCGAUCACACCGUGCAGCGUCCUCUAAAGGCGGAUCCUCCCUUGUGGGAUCCUCCAUCCCAGGCGCUAGUGACACAUACACUGUGCACCUAUCUACAUCUCCGAUCUACAAAGAGAAAUACAGACAAGUCAGCAUCCGACGAUAUAACGAAGGCUAAGGAGUCAGUCAGUAAAGGACAUUACCUUAGGGGCUGGUUGCCCCAGCUUGAAAGCUUGCACCCGAUCACUACCACGGAUGAAGCCCCCAUCAGUAAAGUUGAACAAUUCGUACAACAACUGCUGCACCUCUUCCUUCUCCAGGACCUCAGGCCUCAUCCUGGUCGGGUCCUGGCUUCCGGCGUACUCAUACGCCGAGUGCACCCUCUUCUGGCAGGGCAUCACUCGGCGGCAAACAAAGUUCCCGACCACCCCUAGCCCGUCCAAGCGCGACCAGUCGAUCAGCUUCAUCAGGUCUGCUACCUGUCGAUCGAAUUCUGGGCGGUCGGUCCAACUGACCCUCUUCUCGGGGAUGUACCCCAUGUCACAGAACGUGGAGCUGCCCGGCUCCUCCCUGACGUAGAACCAUUUCUUAUACCACUCGGUAAGAGAGGUAUUCCAAGGGCAGUUCAGGUACCGGUUCUUCAUCCCGUCCCGGAGAUUGAGGUAUACUCCACCUGCAAUCUUGGAGCCUCCAACUGCUCCCUUCUUCCUUAAACAGAAAAGAUAACGAAAGAGAUCCAAGUGCGGCUCUAUGCCCACAUAGGCCUCGCACAAAUGGAUAAAAGUGGAAAUGAGGAGAAUGGAGUUCGGGUGCAGAUUGCAAAUCCCGAUCUCAUAAUACAAAAGAAGACCUUGAAGAAAAGGAUGAACAGGAACCCCAAAUCCCCUCUUAAUGAAAUCUUCAAACACGACGAUCUCACCGGCGCGGGGGUCGGGGUAGCUCUCCCCCUCCGGUGCCCUCCAGCCGCCGAGCUCCGGGCUGUGCAGAAGCCCCAUAUCGACGAGGUCACCAAGAGAUUUGGUGGUGCUGCGGGAUUUCUUCCACUCCUUGGCCAUCAGUUCGGCCCUCUUCUUGGAGUCGAUCUUCGCCAUUGGAGGUGAGGAAGUGGACUUGAGUUAGGAAGAUGCCGGUGAUUGAAAGAGGCAAGAGUGGAAGGCUUGAAGGCAAUGGCAGGGUAAGCAGUAUAGGCGGAACUGUCGAGCUCUUAUAACCCGCAAAUCCACCUCUCCCACUUCCCGUAUUCUCGGGAAGUGGGCGGGCCGUGCGGCGGAUGUGGCGUUUCGGUUUUCAAUGAUUAUAGACGAUUAAUGCGGCGGAGUUUUCGUACCAAUUGAUGGUUUCCUUUUCUCAAACCAUGCAAAGGGUGGCUGCACAGUUGCCAGGCGCAACUUUUCAUGCAUCCAUCUGACAUCCCGUCAGGAGGCCUCGUCACGUCAACUUUAACUGGAAAGAUCUUUUCAAAAACAAGAAGACAAAUAUGGCAGAGAGUCAACAAUCCGGGGACUGUACCGACCACCGAGCACUUGAUGCUCGGGGACUGGUCGCCCAGUCUAUCGACUCAGAACUUCAAAGACUGUACCGACCACCGAGCACUUGAUGCUCGGGGACUGGUCGCCCAGUCUAUCGACUCGGAACUUCAAAGACUGUACCGACCACCGAGCACUUGAUGCUCGGGGACUGGUCGCCCAGUCUAUCGACUCAGAACUUCAAAGACUGUACCGACCAUCGAGCACUUGAUGCUCGGGGACUGGUCGUCUAGUCUAUCAGCUCGGAACUUCAAAAUAUCACACCAACCACUAAGCGCUUGAUGCUCGGGGACUGGUCGUCCAGCAUAGCAACGCAGGAUUCUAAGGAGCGCACUUGGUACUUGGGUCCUGAUGGUCAUACUAUUGUACACCAGGGGACUGGUCGAUCAGUCUGUUCAAUUGCAGACGGACUAGUAAAAUUAAUUUUUUAGACCUUGCUACAAGGCUCAUACUUCGUCUUCCAGCAAGCUCGGGGACUAUAUCGGUACGAUGCAUCUGGCGAUGCAUCUCAGUUGCAGAAUUUCUUUGAGGACUUUUCUUUUGACCCUGGCACCACGUACCUACGUCACCUACUACCAGGCUCGGGGACUAAGUGGGCACACUUCACCUUGCGGUGAAUAUGCUUGCUUUUUUGAGGUUUAUACUUUUCUUAAAAGUAAAGUGGGCACACUUCACCAGGAAAGAAUUUUUUUUAAAUUUAGAGCACCAUGCAUUCAUCGAACAACCAGCUUCUUCGAUGUCAACGUUGAUCAACUGUCUUUUGAGUUGGUCAAAGUACCGUUGCGACUGUUUGGGUGACUUUUUGUUUAUUGAAGACGUCAAGCCUCACUGAUCGAAGAAGCUCAAGAUGGCGUGUUACAUCACAAUACAUGGUGCUCGGGGACUAGCUGUGGGGGUAUAAACCCCUAUACCCUUACGGCUAGACUUGGGCCAGAAGGCUUGGCCCAUUACAAGACAAGCUCAAGGUUUGUUCCGACAGCUUGGAGUUUCGCGCAAGGAAACAAGACGUGGAGAUCAAGAAGGAUUCUAGUCGGUUAGAAUAGAAAUUGAUAUCAAACUAUCUAUGGCAAUUGUAACCGACUAGGAUUAGUUUCCAGAUCUGUAACCCUGUCCUCCGGGCUAUAUAAGGAGAGGCAAGGGACCCCCCUAGGACAUCAUAUUCUCUCAACACAAAUCAAUACGACCAGACGCAGGACGUAGAUAUUACGCCAACUCGGCGGCCGAACCUGGAUAAAAAGCUUGUCCGUGUCUUGCGUCACCAUCAAGUUCGUAGUUUGCGCACCGUCUACCGAUAAACUACUACCGUGGGUAUACCCCAAGGUAGACUGCCGACUAGCUUUCGUCGACACCGGCGCAGACUAGUUGGGGGCCAAAGGUGUAUGAGAUGGUGAAGGAUAUGGAUCACAUAGAGUUUGGCAAGAAGAAGAAGAAGGUACCAGAAGAAGAGGGGACAAAACAUACAAGGAAGAGAAAGCGGGACACGAAGGAGGACGCCGCACCGCUUGUCCCUUUCAAGAAGAAAUCGAUUUUCUUCAAGUACCUGUCAUACUGGAAAACCCUGAAAACACCCCAUGCCAUUGACUGCAUGCACCUCGAGAAAAACGUCUUUGAUAGCACCAUCGGUGUCCUAUUGGACAUCAAGAGCAAGAUGAAGGAUGGCCUCAAGUCACGGUUGGAUCUUGUGAACCAGGGCAUCAGGAAGGACCUUCACCCGGGUCCGACUCAUAACGGCAAAGUCGAUCUACCAGGUGCGUCUUACAACCUAAGGCAUGAUGAGAAGAUUGCUAUGCUCAAGUUGUUGAGGGGUAUCAAGGUGCCGACCGGUUUCUCUUCCAACAUCAAGAGUCUGGUGUCCAUGAAAGACCUCACACUAGCCGGCUACAACUCACAUGACUGUCACGUCAUGCUGACGGUGUUCCUUCCAAUCGUGAUUAGGGCUAUCGGUCCAGAAUACGUGAAGAUGGUGGUCACUCGGAUGUCAUACUUCUUCAACCGUAUCACCCAGAAGGUCAUCGGUAAGGCUGACCUGCCUGCCCUUAAGGAGUUCAUUGCAGAGACCCUCUGCCAGCUCGAGAUGUGCUUUCCCCCAUCUUACUUUGAUAUUAUGCCACACCUGAUGAUGCACAUGGUUGAUCAGAUCGAGCAACUUGGCCCCGUGUACCUACACCAGAUGUGGACGUACGAGCGGUUCAUGUCCACCCUCAGCAGAUACGUCCAUAACCGUGCUUACCCAGAAGGCUCUAUGAUCGAGGCAUACACAACUGAGGAGUCCGUGAACUGGUGCAUGAGGUACAUAAGAGAUGGGAGAGCGAUUGGGAUGCCUGUCCAUCAGCACGAGGGCAGAACCGCGGGGUUGGGGUGUACUGGACGCAAAGUACGCACCGAUAUACCAUAUAAAGAUGUGGAACAAGCUCAUUACAGUAUCCUUCAUCAGUUAGUGAGCAUGGAGAAGUACGUUGACAGACAUGUCGAAGAGAUCCGCGUCGCGCAUGAUGGACAACACACAGAGGAAUGGGUCCAGAAAGAGCACAAGAGCACUUUCCUAUCCUGGCUUAAAGAGCAACACAUACCCCUAGAAGGCUGCUCUGAUAAAGAUACAGACACCGUUAAGAAGCUUGUGCUAGGUCCGUCCAGCAGAGUCACCACGUGGCAAGGCUAUGACGUCAAAGGGUACCGGUUCCACACGAAAGAAAAGGACAAGAAGAGCGCCGCACAGAACAGCGGUGUUCGAUAUGAGGGUGUCGACGAGGCCACAAACUCGAGGACGCAAUACUAUGGGCAGGUCGAAGAAAUAUGGGAACUUGACUAUAGCAAAGACGUUCGCGUAACCGUCUUCCGAUGCCACUGGGUUAACCCAAAAACGGUUGUGGUGGACAAUUAUGGGCUAACCACCAUGAACCUCAAAAGUACCGGCUACAAAGAUGAUCAGUGGGUACUUGCAACCAAUGUCGCGCAAGUGGCCUACUAUAUCUAUCCGGAGGACACAAAGAGGCAUGUGGUUGUUUCAGGAAAGCAACGCAUCGUUGGAGCUGAUGGGGUACAGAGCCCAGAACAAUACAACAACUAUGAAGAGCUCGAGCUAUUUACCGAUCUACCAAAGAAGGUGAAGGCCAUCGAGGACCGUUGUAACAAGAGUGGAAUGAAGCCGUGGACCCGACAUGAUGGUGAGGUGCGGUCUGUGAAAGCACCUGCACCAAAAUGAGAGAACUAUUUAAGAUAAUGGGCAAUUAUUGUAAUACCUCUUUUUAAGACAAGUCUUAUAUUUAAUGAAGUAGUGGACAAUUAUACAUAGCACACACAUCUAUAUGUAAUGGAGUAGUAGUGGAUAAUUAUUGUUUAAUAUCUCUUUUUUAAUAUGUAAGUUUUGUAAUUCAGCUAUUUAUAAAUGUCAAUUUAUUAAUAUCCCUGUAGCUAUUUACAAUUUUAAAAUUAUCAAAAAAUUAUAUUAUAAAAGUAAAAAGCUUCUGUUCAGGGAAUAACCGCAGCGGGCGUCUUAACUUGCCCGCUGCGGUAAAUAUUAACCGCAGCGGGCGUCUUAAAGUGCCCGCUUCGGUUAAUAUUUACCACAGCGGGCAGGUUAAGACGCCCGCUGCGGUUAAUGUUAACCGAAGCGGGCACAUUAAGACGCCCGCUACGGUUAUUCCCACACUAUAAAAGCAGGCGGCCCUCUGCCCUAAAAUUAGUCGCGCGGUUCUUCCUCACCCGAAGGGCUGCCGAAUUUCGAACUCCCGCCUUCGCCGCCGCCGUCCCCGUCCACGCUCCAUCACCGUCACCCGCUCGAACUCGCCUGCUUCAUCCCCGUCCGCCGUCCGCCACCGCGGGACCUUCACCGGCGCUUCGUCACCGUCGGCCAUCCGCGGGACCUUCACCGGCGCCAUCCACCGUCCGCUGCACUUCGCCACCAGGUAUGCUCCCUCCUUUCUCUUCCCUUUCUUCCUUAGCGGAGCCGAGCACUUCCUCCCUAUUCCCUCCAUCGUUCAAAUCGACCCCACCCCCGCGGCGCGCGCCUCGGGUCCCCGUCUCCGCGGAUCUCCGGUGAGUCCUCUGUCACCCGCCAUCCGUGUAACGCAGCCGUGACCCUGCGGUAGGGGAAGGCUAAGGCCUUCACAACACCCUAUGAAGAAUACAAGUGAAGCAAAAAGAACCUCAGAAGCAAAUGUUUUUUGAAGUGUUUAUGUCUAUGUCCAGAUCUGCUUGGGUCUUUCAAGUUUAAUUGUAUACUAGAUAUGUGUAUUACAAUUAUAGAAUUCAUGUUUUAUGUUCUUAUUUUUUCAGUCUAUAACAAUUCCCUGAAUUUCAAUCAGCGCAAAAUGCUUUAUCUUAUAUGCUUGUAGGCAUCAAGCAGGUAGUGUCAAAUGCCAUGGUUUGUGUGGAGUGAUGCCUAAAUUUUCUCUCUCUUCUUUGCAUGUCGAGUGCAGUAACUUCUCAAUUUAUAUUAGACAUCCCAAAUCAUUGUUUCAAGUACUGGGAUGUUCAAUCUGCAAUGUGGCUUCUUGAUUUGAUUGAGUAGAUCUGUGGUCUCUAGUCAGACUUAUUUGUUUAGCUUAGCUCUAAAAUUUUAUAUUAUUCCAAGUUGUGUUCACGAGAACUCCAAAAUGUUCAAUCUGCAAUGUGGUUUCUGUUUGCAAGUGCCACAAAACUGAAAUCAUUUCGCCAGACCACAUCCAGUAGAACAAGUGCUAUGUUCCUAGGUAGACUAAAUGUGUAUGCUGCAACCGUGUAGGGUCACAAUUUUUGAAACAUUUUUAGGUUCACAACACGGAAGUCAUCAGAGUAUAUUUUGGUUCUUGUGUUUUACUUUGUAUUUGAUUCGUGUUCUCAAUGCAGCAUACACAUUUAGGUAGCAGCUGUUUUG